GGUUCAAAUCAGUCGCAGACUUACCGGCAUACGAGUUACGGUGGAUAGUAAAGACAACCUUACUGUUGUUCGAUCGCUUACUCUUGUCGCCGGUCCUAAUAUCAGCUAUGGACCAUAUGGUUCUUCUGGAGCGGGAAAUUCUUUCAGUGCAAAUGGUACAAAUAUUGUUGGCUUUUUUGGGCGUUCUUCAGCGGAGCUGAUUAAUGCAAUUGGGAUCUACAUAAAUACCUAGUUUCUCUCUACUCUAUCUGCCCCGGGUUUACUACGUGACCUUACUAUAUAUACGUAUAUAUAGCAAUAAGGAUACAGUGUGCCGGGUAUCCAUUAUGUCCGUUAUGUCUUUAUGUGUGUCUAUAUAUGUUUAGCGGGCAAUAGUCGAAUUAAAAAAAAAAAAAAAAGAGUUUGCCCCCUUAGAUCUAUGAAAUAAAGAAUAGCAGGCAUGCUAUUCGUGUGUAAUGUUACUGUUCUGUUAUAAAUAAUGUAUGUUAUACUAUUUGUGGGUUUGUAUGAUGUUCUUAUAUAAAGAAUGUGCGGAUUUAUUUUGUUGUUAGCGAUGUUAGCGAACGAAGGGCCGGGCAAUGCGCAGCAGCGAAGAUUUUUUAAGUUAAGAAUAUUCUUCUACAUAACUAACAAUUUUUGCGUGUAUGAUUUGCCCAGUUCAGAUAAAAAAAAAUUUCAUUAAAAGUUUAUAAUUUUAUAUUGCGUUGGUGGAUAAAAAUAAAUUUUAACAUAAAUGUGCUAAAAUAUGAACCAUAUAUUGACAAAUAUAACUUUAAUAUCUGGCCCUUUAGUUUUGUUAGUUUAUAUCGAUCUAAUUAUGAUUUAAAUUGGUUAUGAUUAUGAAUUAAUUAUUAAUCGAGAUACAUUUUAUGUGUGAAAUUAAUUCGGAUUGAUAUAAAGUUAUGUAUGGGAAAUAAGAGUGAUGUUUUGAGUUGAACCACCCAACUGGGGAGCAAGUCGAUCUAAAUUGACAUAAAUUUGAACCUGAAAUGUGUAAAUAUGUAGGUCGAUCUAUGGGAUGAAACUUUAUGGGAAAAGAUUAAUCAAACUGGAAGAGUAAAUGGAUGGCUACGUUUGGGGGAAUUGAAACUAACCGUGGCACAUUAGAUCUUGCCUAAUUGGACGACCGAUGAUACGGGUGCCGAUCCAACUCGAUGUUUGUGAGUCAUUUUGUGUUCUACUUGAGAGUGGCUCAAGCUCAGCUCGCUCAUUUAACAAAUAAGCUAAUUCUGAACUCACUUUUCCAUUCCAAAAUGUAAACCAUUGAAUAAGCUAACUGUAGCUCACUCAUGCUACGAUCGGUAUAACUCAAGGAUGAAUAAAUAAUAUAUGUAAAUAUUAUUUUUAUUUUAACAUGAAGCUGAUUUAGGUAUUACUCUAUGUUCUUUGUUAGCAUGACUUUUUUAUUUUAGUACGGAUUAAUACACCAGAGUAAAGACAGAUAUAGACAUAAUAUAUUAUCUUGAUGGGAUUGCAGCAUCUUUGGAUGUAAUGUGAUUUUUUUUUAAUAAAUAUAUACCGAGUAUCACAUAAUAUUUUAAUUUCAAGAAAAAAUAAAAUAUGUUUGAAGUUACGAUGUGGUGCACUAAUUAAUGUUGAGCUCGGGUAUGAAUGUUAAUCUUUCCUGCUCAUAUGGUAGAACCCAGUGUUGGGCUAGGAACGAAACACAAGGUGAUGCGGACCGGAACACAUUAUUGACCCGGUUAGAUGCUCCCUCAGGAUCUGGAUCGGCUCCUGAAUUGAUCCUCGAAUGCAUCACGAUCAAAUCAAGCGAUUCGGCUGAGAAGAGAUCGAAUCAACCGGAUUCUAUAUCAUUUUGCUAAUUAAAGCCGAAGAAUCAGGAAGAUAGUAUUCGGCUGAUUGAAGACUCGGUUGAAUAAACCAAGUCGUUUGUAUUGUGGAAAAACUUGGGUUACAAGUAAAGUUAAGGCUAUUUCUAGAAAAAGCUAUAAAUGCUGGAAGAAUAAGAAUUACAAGUAAACUAUUCCUACAAAAACUGUAAAUGCUGAAAGAUUAAAAAUUACAAGUAAACUAUUUCUAGAAAAGUUGUAAAUGCUGAAAUUAGAAAUAUUGAAAAAUGCAGUAUUCUUUCGUUCGUAAGAGAGAAAUGCCUCUAUUACAGGCUUCAAAAUUACUAUUUAUAGUAAUAUCUUAUCAGUCUACGUUAUUGGUUGGUUUUAGUAGUGGGGGGAGUGUUGUAGCCAUGAUCGCGUAAGUUACGCCCCACUUCCCCCAUAAGGUCUCUCCACCUUCAGGUGCCUUGUUGUCGGCUUUUGAUGCACCACGUGUCCUUAUUUCUUUAGCUCGUGUGUUGGUCAGGCCGUCUAUCUUAUGACAUGCUAAUUUUUUUCAUCAACAAUGCCCCCUCAAUAGUCUUUUAAAUGAACAUUCUGAAAACUAUUGAUGCUAAAUCAACGGCUCGAUUAUAGCCAAGACCCGAGCUUCAGUCUCGUUGAUCUUGGAAGGCUUAAAGAAAGCACAUUUAUAUGGUUGUCGGCCCUUUACUAUCUCAGUCGCAUACAGUUCGGCUUUCCUAGCUGAUUUUUCACUUUCAUCGAUUAGCUUGGCUAUUCUUGAACCCACUGUUCUAUUAAGGAUUUCUUCUUGACUUUGCCCCAAGUUCUAUGUCCGCUCCAAUGUAGCCGAUUGUUUUGAUUUUUUUUUGAAAUUUCUCGUACUGACCAACCCGAACACCCAAAUCAAAUAGAUUUGAAAAUUACUUGUUUUCGAAAUGAUCUUUUAUUUGAAAAUGUAAAUCAUUGAAUGCCAUUUUGAUGAACUCUGAUUUCAGCAUCCUCACAAAGUAUCGGUUUCUGGCCGUUUUGAAAUGGUUAAAGUACUCUUCAACCGUUUCACCCAACUUCUGCGAUAUAAAGCUAGAUUAGCCACAGAAAGUUUAUGCUCUAAUCUAUAAAAUUGUUUGUGAAACUUUCGCUCCAACUCGUCCCAUCGAACGAAAUUGGCAGGUAAGCUCGUGUAUAAUGUAAACGCCGUCUUGAUUAACAACAUGUUAAACAAGCAAAAUUUUAGGAAUGGGUCAGCAGUCGUUUCUCUUCACUGGGUUGUGAACUGAGUAACAUGUUCCACAGUAUUCUCAAUCUCUUCACCCGAGAACUUGUCGAACUUUGGCAUCUUACAAUUUGUCGGAUACGGAUGUUCCGCAUCAAUAUUAGCUCGAUAUCGAGACCUAAAUACAGGCCGCAUUACCGGCCUUACCUCUACACCGAACAUAUUCCGGAUUGCCUCUUUUAUUUGAGCAUACAACUUAUUGUUCCUCGCUGCGGGGGCUCCGACGGGGGUCGGAGCCGGAAUUCCAUUCGGCCCUAGAGACAGCAUGUAGUUUUGUACUAUAGAGUUAAGUCCCUGUACUACAUUGAGGCCCUUUCGCCCAGCCCUCAUGCCCAUGUUUUGGAGCUGAUAAACAGGAAAAGAAGGUGGAGAAGGUAAAUCCUAUGCAAUUUCUGGCUGGGAGCCAGCGUUUACAUUCAAUGGCUUAUAGGCAGCCUAGAAAGGCAUUAUUUCGGGUUGUUUCUGCAGUAUUGUUGGUGCGAUUGGGUUCUGUUGCACCGGCGCAGUUAGGGGCCCUGGUGGACCUCCGUAAUGUUGCUCGUUCCUGGGUAGCAGCUAUCUGAUAUGAACUAUAUUUUCAUUAGACACUGUGAUGGCGGCAUUACCUUGUCUAAUCGAGCGAUACUUUAAUGACUAUUUUGAUCCAAUGCCUGCAGGACUCGAAUCAUCCUAUCCCUUAUAGCAAUCCGACACUUUUGAGAGCAAAUUAACAACCAACCAACGAUGGUGACUCAUUAGAUUAAUUAGAUUAACCGGAGCUUAUAUAAUUAGUUAGUUGUAGUAUAAUCUAGCUCUACAUGUAAUGUUUGAAUACUAAGAGUUAGCGUGUUUCGGAUAGAAUAUUCCUCUAUGCUUUCACUGUAAAUCUAUUAUGUUUCUAUUCUGUUUAUACCAAAGAUGCGAAAAGUAGAAAAGAGUCGUAUCCAAAAAUUUAGAAAACUUUCAAAUGUUAAAAUGUCUAAUCCAAUUAAUUAUACAUCCAAAACUAUAUCCUUAAUCUCUAGAAGUUUAUUCUAUCUAUUAAAAAUCUAAUUGAAUUUUUAUUUUUCUGAAUUUUUUGUAAAUACUAACAUGAUCGACUAAUUUUUACAUUUUUAUCAUAUCUAUGGUUGAAUAAAAAAAUGCAAAAUUUAUCGAUCUUCAUGGUUUUAAUUUUUCAAUGCACUACGUAUUCGAAGGACCUAGUUAAUUAAGACUGAAAGGAACAAGAAAAAGAAAAAGCAUUACAAAAGCCAAAUGAUCCCACAUUAUUAGAAAUUUUAUAUUAGCACCAUAGCAGGUCAGGUUUAUCUGAUAAUUUUUGUUGAUUCAAUUAUCACAGGUCUAAAUUAGUUCUUAGAUCGAAAUCAAUAUGCAUGUUUUAUCAAGCUAUUUUAAUUGGUUCGCACACAACAGACCUUUCGUUUAUUUUGCUUAACUUUUAAAAGAAAUCAAGAUCUCAAGAUCACAGUAAGAGAUAAUAAAUUAUUUAUACCAAUAAGUUUGGAAGUGUAAAAAAUUUUUUUGUAAAAAUUCAAAAGCUACCCGGCGCAAUAAAUUGACCUUAUGCUUUUUAUUUCAGGACAAAAUUUGCUGGGCAGGUGCCCAACCUGUGUCCCUCUCUUCUCUCUUUUUUCUUAAAAAGGGCCGCAACAUUUUUUUUUUUUUUUUUCAUGGUGCCGAUGGGCGCCGGAUGAACCCAUACCGGCACCGUGCGCAAACUAAUUGGGCACGCUGCCGAGCAAAAUUUUGUUCCCUUCUUAUUCAACGCAUAUCAUCUCACCAUUAAUUGUGAGAAAUAACUACCACAACAAAACCGAAAAUAUUCUUUUCGGCUUUUAUAAUCAUAAUAAUUUAUUCCCACAAUUUGAUGAAUAGAAUAAUCCCCCAUAAAUAUAUAAGAUCUGUACAUUUUUUUACUAAUACAAUUUUUUUUUUUUUUUUCUAGAACUAGAUGAUAUAAAAAAAUUUUUUUAAAAAAAUUAUUUUUCAAAAUAUUUUCCAACAUGGCCAUACACCUCUUAUACUCCGUUGGAAUGAGUACAAGAGCGGUAUAAGGGGGUUGAUCCUCCCUCCCUUUUCUUUCACCCUGUACCAAACACAAUUUGGGCGCGGGGAGGGCGGGGUGGAACACUUGUUCACCCCCCACCAUCUUUAUGAGGUUGGAGUGGAACAAGUGUAUUCGAGAGAAGAGAGAGACCUCUUGUAUGGAGGUUGGGAUGGAACAAAAUGUUCGAGAGAGACCCUUGUAUGAGAGUUGGCGGUGGAACAAUGUUUCGAGAGGAGACGAGAGAGAUUUUUAAUUUUAAUUUUAAUUUCUAAAAUUUAUAAUUUAGUUUUUUAAAAUUUAAAUUUAUAAUUUUAAAUUAUAAGUUUUAAUGUUUAAAUUAUAAAUUUAAUAUUUGUAAUUUUUAAAUUGUAAAUUUAAUUUUUUAGAUUUAAAAUUUAAAAUUUUAUAUUUUAUAUCUUUUAAAUUUAAAUUUGAUCUUAAAUUUAAAAUUUGAUAUUUAAAAUUUAAAAUUUGAAAAUUGUAAGUUUUAAUUUUAAUUUUAAAAUUAAAAAUUUAAAAUUUAAAAUUUUUAAUUUAAAAUUAUUAGUUUAAAAUAUUAAAUUCAAUUAUAAAGGUAAAAUUAUUAUUUUCUAUCUAUAACUAUCAACUAUUCCACCUUAUACUCAGAUUUUCAUCCACACAUAAUUUUUCUAGUUCCAGCUUAUACUCACAUUUUCAUCUCAACAAAAAAAUAUUCUUAUUCCUACGAAAAUCCAGUCUUAUACCUAUCCCCGGUAUAAUUAAUUUUUGCUUAUACCCGAACCAUUCUUAGGGUCUGUUUGCAGGUUCCUCAAAAAAUAAUAGAAAACUAUUUUUUAAUGAAAAAAAGUUUUGGUGGAAAUAUUUUUUUUUCAGUUUCUAUAAAUAAAUAUUUUUAUUUCACUUUUUUGAUUAGUUGAAUAAUGUCGUAUAUAUAUAUAUAUAUAAAUACCAUCCGUAAAAAAAAGAGAGUGAGAUUGCACAUCUUUUAAAAUAUAAUAUAACUCACAAACUAUUUAAAAUACAAAUAAUAAAUAAUUAAAUAAAAAUAAUUUUUGAAAUAAUUUUUAGUUUAGUAUAAAUAAAAUAGUUGGACAAAAAGAUGACGACGAUGGAUAGGAGAGACACAUACACCCACCCAAGCACACGGACCCGGAGAGGGAGACGCGGGCGGCUGCGGUAAAUAUCCCGAAGCCCCCUAGUUCCGGGCCCGAGGAAACGACCGCCAGCUGCCGCUGUUCUGCUUUGCGCUAGGCGCCCUAGACGCAUGCCGCUGCCGCUGCUGCUGCCGCUGCCGCUGCCGCUGCCGCUGUCGCUGUCGCUCCAAAAAGCGCCCUAAAAACCCUAGCCGGCCGCACCCACUACCACCGUCGGCGCUAUAGACCCUAAACGCAUGCCUUGGCGCCUAGCCGAACUCCACUACCGACCGCCGCGCCCUAAGCGCCCUAGAAGCUUAGGCGCUCGCCCCGCCUCCUGCGGCCCUCUAAACCCCGCGUGCUCAACGCUCUAGACACAUGCCUACGGCGACCGAGGUNNNNNNNNNNNNNNNNNNNNNNNNNNNNNNNNNNNNNNNNNNNNNNNNNNNNNNNNNNNNNNNNNNNNNNNNNNNNNNNNNNNNNNNNNNNNNNNAAAAAAAAAAAAAAAAAAAAAAAGAAAAAUAGGAAGAAAGAAAGUAAUCGAGAGAGGGAGGAGGAGUAACAAGAGAUAAAAGAAGAAGUGGAAAAAGGAGGAGGAGGAGGAGAAGAAGCGUUAAAAGAAUAAAAAAAAGGGGAAAAGAGCUCGGCUUCAGCUGCCGACGUUGCGCAAGUCGACGCCGCUCAAGUCGCCGGCCUCACCACCCAAGCCGACGCCGGUCUCGUUGCGUCCACAGCCGCCGUCGUGUCUGCCGCCGUAGCCACCCAAGCCGACGCUGCCGCCGCCGAGGUCGAAGUCCAUCGACCACCCCCUGCUGUUUCAGGAAGCAGCUCCUCUUUCUUUUCUUUUUAAUGCACAAAUCUGUACUCCUAAUUAAAUGUUGAAUGGGUAUUAAUUCUAUUUUAAACAUCCACUUAUGAUUUGUGCAUUUUGAAGAACAGCGUGAAAUGUUUCUUUUGAUAAAGCUUUGAAACUUUUUCUUAAAAUACUAUAUAUAUGAGUUGUGUUGGUAUGCUUAUGGAAGCACGGAGGCCUCCGUGCUUUCAAGUUAUUUUCGAUGUUCGGACUUUCGAAUCGCCGAUCGGCUCCGUUAGAGUUGAUCUAGAGUAUUUGAAAUACCUAAAAAAUAAAUUUUGCAAUUUUUCGAUAUCAUUUGCCUAGUGAUCGAAGGGGUUCAAAAUCAAUAAUUUUAACAGCCGUGGUGAGCCGGUUGCAAGUUUAACGGUGUAGAAAUAUCCAAAUCAUAUGAAAUUUUGAUAGAAAAUUCUUUAUACCAUAUAAAACAAGAUCAAUAACUUUGAAACUAAAAAUUUUAAUGUCAUAUUAUCAUAUUUUGUAAAUUUUUAUUUUCAGCCGUUGAUUUUGAGCCAUUUCGAUCACUAGGCAAACGAUAUCGAAAAUCGGCAAAAUUUAUUUUCUAGAUACUUCAAAUACUUUAGAUCAAGUUAACGAAGCGAUCGUCAAUUCGAAAGUCGCGAACAUCGAAAAAUAACUUGGAAGACGGAGCCCCUUCGUGUUUCCAUAAGCAUCCUAGCCGCACUCUAUAUAUAAUAUAUAUAUAUAUAUAUAAUAUAUAUAUAUAUAUAUAUAUAUAUUAUAUAUAUAUAUAUUUGAGUAUGAGUUAGCAUUGUUUGUGAGUUUAUGAGAGCUUAAUAAUUCAUAGUUUACUUGUGCUUUUUAAGAAUACCAUGUCAUAUUUUAAAUCUUUUAAUAAAUGAGCAUAUACAGGAAUAACCCUCAAACAUAAAUUUUCUCUUUCAUACUCUAUCAAAUCACAUUAUAUAGUGUAUUUGUAUUUAAAUUUCUAAGUUUUUUUACACAAACCCAUAUAUAUACUUAUAUAUAUAUAUAUAUAUAUAGUAGAGAGAGAGAGAGAGGAGAGAGAGAGUUUUGCUAGAAUACUAUCGGUAGUAACGGCUCGAUUUACUACUAAUUUAUUUUCGAUGAUAGAGCUUCCAAAUUGAUGAUCGGCACCGUUAAAUAUGAUCUAACUAUUUAAACUAUCGGAAUUCAAAUUUCACAUAUUUUCGAUAUUGUUCUCGUUGUCCAUCAAGUGAGCAGAAAAAUGAAUAGCCGAAAAUGAAAAUCCUUCAAAAAGUGAUGAUACAAUUUUUAUAUUUAAGAUCUAGAGUCCAGAUCUUAUUUUAAAUAGUUUAAAGAAUUUUUUAAUAAAAAUUUAGUUGAUUUGAACUAUUUUAUACCAUUAAACGAGCAAACGCAUCAUAUCGGCCAUUAAAAUUAUAGAUUUUGUGACUCUUUGAUCGUUUAGUUAGUAAUGCCAAAAAAUCAUGAAAUUUGAUUUCUAGAUAAUUUAAAUGGUUUAGAUCAUGUUCAACGGUGCCGAUCGUCGAUUUGGAAGCUCUAUCAUCAAAAACAAAUCGGUAGUAAACCGAGCAGUUUACUACCGAUAGUAGUCCGGUCAAACUCUAUAUAUAUAUACACAGACAUACACACAAGUCAGCCUAGUUAGUGUAAUAUUUUGUUGCUUAGUUCCUAGCUGGAAAAUGUAUAUAUUGUAAACAUCCAAUUCUGCAAAACAUAAAUAAAUUAAGGGAUUGUUUGUUGAUUGUAGGCUAACCAAACGUUCCGAACUCUACUAUAAUACGAGUUACUACUAGUAGCCUUGCUAAAUUUUUAUGUUCCUUUCUAUUUUAUUAGUAAUCUAGUAAUUAAUUUAGAAAAUGAUAUUUUGAUUUGACAAGCUUAAUCGGAGGUGGCUUGAAUGUAAUAAAGAGGGCGUAAUUAACCAGGUACCCGUAGAUAUCCGGAAAGUAUGAAUCCUUUUAUCUCUGAAAAUUAUUAUCUAUUGUACUAUAUAUUUCUUUUCUCGCUAGUAAAGAAUAUAUAGUCAAAAAAAAAAUACCAGAUAAAAAAAGGGAUAGGGAAAUUGCACCCCUAAUAAAUUCUCAUGCUCACCAUUUUCUACUUUCUUUUUAUUUAUUUAAAUCUUUUCUUUUUUCCAUGGUUCAUUUUUCGGAAAAACAACGAGGGCCUAGAAUCUCUUCUGGAGUUUCACAAGAAGAGGCGUUAUAGUGCGAAGCGAGGAGGAAAUGUGGAUGCCAUGGGCACUUUGACCUCCCAAUUGCAUGAUGGAUUUGCCGCACCAGCACUACGAAUACCUGUGCCUGUAGGUUUGUAGAUUACGUAACCAUUUUUUGUUAGACGACUGGACUAAAAUUUCCUCUAUUACUUUUUCUCUCAUCAUGGCUUCUGCUGUCUUUUGUUUAAAAUAUGCCAAAACUGGUGAAUAUGUUCUUAUGCAUGAUCUCGCCAUCACUCAGUUCCUCAUAUUCUGUGGAUUUUAAAAUGCUAUCCAUGGAAGGCUUACCAUUAUAACUGAUUACUCGAAGAUAAGAAGAAUAGGAUCUAGUUCCUUGAAUGUUUGAAAACAUGACAGGCACUGUUGUGAAGCGGAAAAAAGGAAAAUUUCGUGUUGAUUUAGCUCAUCCAGGUGAUGAAAUUGUGGUCGCUAUAGCGGACAAGGUGGGGUAAGUAGCAUCUUAUGUUGAUACAUGCAGAAAAUGAGGUUUCUUUUGUAUCUUGUAGGUUAAGAGGUAUAAUAUAAACCAAUCCGCUUCGGUUUAUCUGAAACAUAAAUAUCUGUCUGAUUACGAUAAAAAUUUUCAUGCAUACUGAAUAGGCUUCAACUCGUAUUUGUUUGUAUUUUGUAUUGCUAGUCCUAGAUAUAUUUAGGAAACACAUCAUGCUGGUGGGAGAUUGACUCAUUAAAUAACAUAUUAACAUCAAAAUCUAAGGACUAGAGAAGCUGCAAAGUUCAAGGAUAAAUUGAGGGCAAAAGUUUUAUUAAUCCUCAGACUCCUGCCAUUUACGAUAUAUGAGUAGUAAAUUAAUAAAAUUUGAGAAGGGAAUUCAAAUCAAUCCAUGAAUCUAAACUCGAUAGCUUUAACAGUUAAAAAUUGUCGAUAGCUUGAACUCAUUUAUCUGAAGUUUGAACAACUGUAAAAUUUUACAUUUCAGGCCUCUGGAAGAGACAUGACCUGCGUAUAUGUUCGAUGCAUUAAUUAGCAUGGUAGCAAAAUGUUCUGAAAAGCAAGUGACAAAUUCAACUAAAAUCUAGAAUGUAUCCAUAGGAUGAAACUCAAUACUAUUUUAUUUUUGUUAUGUCAUUAGACAAGAUUUAUGUUGGAUCAGCUUUGUACCAUCACUUCAUGUUGGAAAAACUAUAUUGAAAGCCUGUGGAUGUCAUGGUGCUUGACUAGUCUAUAUAAUAUGAACAAAGAUGAAACUUUGUGCAGGAGAUAACACAAAGAAUUCGAAUUUUAUGCCUUUUUCUAUGGCUUGAGAAACAUCAUCAUAUAACAUCAGCACAAAAGAAAUUCAUAUGACAUAUGUACAAAUAUAAAAUGAUGAAUGGAUAUAGAUGGAGGAUAUAAUUACCCAAUGGAACUAUAUAGCCUGCUAUUCAUAACCAGAGUGUAGCAUAAACAUCAUUUACAGUAUGUUUUUAUUGCAUUAUUUUAUUGGCUAUGUUCUGUAAUAUGUUCUUUUCUUAUCUUCUUUUCGCAGAUAAGCUUGCUAGAAAUGCCUGAACACAAAAGGAAAAAAUUAAUGGCUCUAUCCACUAAUGUAAUGCGAGAUGAAAAUGAUAAGGUCAGCUUGUUUGUCAUCAUGUGUCUCAUAUCUCAACCUGGAAUAACAUUAAUUGUUUUUGUAACCUUCGAUUUUCUAUGGUAUGGGUGACCUUCCUGAACUACUUGAGAUGCCCUAUAAAGAUCUAUAUAUAUCAUAGGCUUGAGAGAUUAGGAAGCAAGAGCAAAUUUAAAGAUAAUUUGUUGUAUGCAAUUGUGUAGAAUAGUUUAGCGGGAGGGAUAGUACAGUUUGCAAGGUAAAAAGGUCGUUAAUUCGCAUGAAUACAUGCCAACUUAUAUUUAUGUCUAUAAUCUAUACCUAAUGUGAUAAAAUGAACUGUAUCUUGAUAAGCUUUGGCAUGGAUUACCCUAUAUAGAUUAGGUUGAGACAUAUACCUUAAUUUUAUUUCGUUUCAUUGAUUCUUUAUUAAACACCCUCUUAACAUAGAAAGAAAAUAAUGUUUACGUUAAAUUGCAAAUAAUAUUUUAUAUUAGUGAAGAGGUCUUCUUUGCCUUUUCAGGGACUUCCAAAUGCUGGAAAGUCAACCUUCUUGCAGCUCUAACACUUGCGAAACCAGAUAUUGCUGACUAUCCAUUCACAACUUUAAUGCCAAAUCUUGGACGUCUUGAUGGAGACCCUAAUUUAGGGGAAUUGAAAUAUUCCUCAGAAGCAACAUUAGCUGAUUUGCCUAGUCUAAUUGAAGGUGCUCAUUUGGGCAAGGUAUUGCUACAUCUACAGUGUUUUAUGUUACUUUCAUUCUAAGAUAACUGUUUACAUCAAAGCAACAUACAUAUUGCGUUGCUGGGUCUUGGUCGAAAUUUCCUGAGACAUCUAAGGAGGACUCGGCUACUUGUUCAUGUCAUUGAUGCUGCUGCUGAGAACCCUAUAAAGGAUUAAAAGACUGUCAAAGAGGUGAUUUGCAUUUAAUUUUUUUGGCAGUGCUUUUCCUUAUUUCUCUGGGAUUCAACAUCAUUCUGCUUGUCGGUUUACCUGUGCCUUUGAGAUGAUUCCAAAUUCAAAAUUUGUUAGCUCUUGGCACUGUCUUGACUAUUUUUAUGUUUAGAGCACUUUAUAUAGGGACUUCGUCCUAAAUUAUAAAACUGCGAACCUGUUUAAAUAUUGGAACAAAUUAUCCAGUGAUAACUUGUGUGGUACAAGAAUUUCCUUUUGUAACUGCAAGUAAAAGUUUGAUUUUAGUUCAUUAUAUGAUCCUCAUAACCAUGAUUUUUUAGGGUAUUGUAUUCUGCCUACGAGGUGAUUUAUCAUGUUCCAGGAAGAGUGACUUAGAAGCUGAAUAUGCUAGGCGGAUGUAGAUAUGUUGUCAUACUCUUAUGAAGCAAUUAGCACAUGCUCCUUGAGGAAACAAAAGAGACAUGCUGAACAAGUUGUUGGUCUAAUUGCAUGCUUCUCUACUUAAUCUGGAUAAAAGAGGAUACACUGCUAUGCAAUCUGGGAACUUGUAAUUACUCGCGCCGACCUACUUCAUGAUUAAGCUAUUGUUAUUGACUUGGUAUAACGUAAUGGACUAUGAAUCUUUAAUUGAAGUUGUCCAGGGCUGUAUAACAUGAUUGAUUUGGGACAACUUUGGAGCUGAUUGGAAGUGUUGAUUUAGAUUGACAUUUGUAUAUAGUUAUUUGUCUAUAGUUAAAAGGUUUGGGAAAAUAGACAUUGCUUGAGAAGAUUUUCUUAUUAUGGUCCAUGAUCGACAUAGUUGUUGGCUACUUUUCCUUUUCUUUAGUCAUAUGAUAAAAGAGUGCCCUUUCUUGCGUUCUCUCUAUUACGUUGUAAGAAUACUUCAGAAUGUGUCCACUAAUAUUUUUUAGCUAACUUGGUGGUGACAUUUAUCUUUGUUCAUCCAAAAAGAAUUACAUAGUGCAGCUUUCUCUCCGUAAAGCUCUUAAUUCUUUCAUUAAUCAGUUCUGUGACUUCUAUUGUUUGAUGACCUAUGAGGUCGGUAUACCCUGAGGGGUAGGAUUGUCGGCUAGUUGCCGACGAAUGAUUAUAGAUUACAUUAAUCUAUGACCUGACAUUCUUGUGACCUAGUCGGUCGGUUUCUUGUAUCUCGUAUUGUGAUCUAUUUGUCGAUUUUUGUGCAUAUAUGUUAGUUGACAUUGAGUGGUCGAUACUUGUAUACCUUCGGAAGGAUGUUGAGUUGUCGGUUAGUUGCCGACGGUUGGUUAUUGAACAUAUCAACAUAGAUCGCCACAUACUCGUUCGCAUUUUAUGAACAUCAGUGAUCUAAUCCAUCACGACCAGGUGUUCUUUUCCGGAAAAGUGGUUGGAUGUGCUAGCCCGUGAGCCCAGCAUUCAAAAUUGGGUUAUAUGCAGCCCGUGAGCCCAGCUGUCAGAACUGGGUUAUAUACAGGUAGAGUGGCAGUGGCAUAAGCUUGAGGUCUGCGGACCGUCAUGCCAGGUUUCUGAUUUGAUAUUUUUGGGACUGAUCGUUCGGUUGAUGCAUACUUGUACUUUGUUCUGUAUUACAGUAGCGGCUAGUUAUAUUCCUAUAUACUGUUGUUUACCCAUGCAUCAUUGCUACUGUAGUUAUGAUAUNAUUUGCUCGGGUCACAUCUCUGCUAGAGCGGUAGUGGCAUAGCCUGCGGUCUUCGGACCAAUAUGGCAGCUUCUGGAUUGGGUAUUUUGGGAUUGAUCGUCCGGUUGACGCAUACUUGUACUUUGUUCUGUAUUAUAGUAGCGGCUAGUUAUAUUCCUAUAUACUGUUGUUUACCCAUGCAUCAUUGCUACUGUAGUUAUGAUAUUUAUGUAUGCAUUCUGUUCUAUUUUACAGUCGCGGUAGUUACAUGUUCUAUUACUGUACCCUUUUCUUUCGCAUAUUAGCUACUAUAUUGUGAUAUCUACCUAUGAUUUUGAUGAUCUUUUUCUGCCGGUGAGUACUCAUCGCCUUCGUCGGUUGUCUGCCGUGAACGAGCCGGCCCCGCCGUAGGUUGUUUUUAAGGCGAGUGGUCAUUCAUGGUAGAGGUUAAAUUUAUUUAUGUUUUAUUUUGAAAUCAGGAUUAUAGGUUCAUGGCUUCCAACAGACUCAAGAAUCUGUUGUUAAUUACCCCACACUUUCGGUGUUAAGGAACCCUCGAUUAAGAGACCAAAUAUAAAUGUUGAUAAUAAAAGAGACAAAACAGGCAAAUAAAAUUUUAUUGAUAUGAUUUGCCGUUUACAUUGCUUAAGCAGGGGCAUUUCCCCACUAUACAUGAAUUUUAUCAGACUAAAUGUCCAAUCUAGCGAAGAAGUUUUGAUUUAUUGAAUUCUAAGUAUAUGUAUUAGGAUUCAGUUGAAUUUGAAAUUGACUAGGUCCUAAGUAUAUGUGUCAAGACCUAGUCGAUAUUAGACCCUAUGUAUUAGAGUCUAAUUGGCUCUAAGUAUAUGUCUUAGAGUCCGAUUAGAUUCACCUUGGUUGUAUUUUCCAAAGUGGAGAUGUGACCUGACCUCAAGUGUAUGUAUUGAGGUGGGUCGAAUUACCCGAAAGUGAAGAGUGGCUAAUUCCUGAGUAUAUGUAUCAGGAUUAACCGCGUUUGAUAUGUUUUCACUCUAGUUAUAUGUGCUAGAAUGAAGAUCUGACUAAGCCCUAAGUAUAUGUAUUAGGGGUAGUCAGAUUUGAUUCACAUGAACUCCAAGUAUAUGUAUUAGUGCUCGAUCGGGUAUGGGUUUCACUCUAGAUAUAUAUAUUAGAGCAAAAGAUUGACUAGACCCUAAGUAUAUGUAUUAGGGCUAGUCGAGCAUGAUUUGACUUCCACUCUAGGUAUUUGUGCUAGAGCAAAAGGCUGACUAGACCCUAGGUAUGCUAGGGCUAAUCGGAUGAACUCUAAGUAUAUAUGUUAGAGUUCGAAUAAAGUUGAUAUCAUUUGACUGAAUUCUAAGUAUAUGGCUUAGAACUCUGUCGAUUUGGAGAUGUUUCGCCUUAGUUAUAUGUGCCAAGGCGAUUGACAUAGCCCUAAGUAUAUGUAUUAGAGGUAGUCGAUAUUUAAUUUUUACUCUAGGCAUAUGUGCCAGAGUAAAAAAAAGGUUCACGAUGAGAUUUGGGUAUUGGUUCAUGAGAUUUUAGUAUUGGCUCAUGAGAUUUGGUUCAUGAAUUUGGAUAUGGUUCAUGAAUUUGGUGUAUGGACUUGGUUCAUGAACUUGGAUAUGGUUCAUAGAUUUGGUGUAUGGACUUAGUUCAUGAACUUGGAUAUGGUUCAUGGAUUUGGUGUAUGGAUUUGGUUCAUGAACUUGGAUAUGGUUCAUGGGUUUGGUGUAUGGACUUGGUUCAUAAACUUGGAUAUGGUUCAUGGAUUUGGUGUACGGACUUGGUUCAUGGUUCAGAAAAUUUGAGUUUAGUUUAACGACUUUUCGGUCGUUUGGAUUUGGGUUUAGUUAACGACUUUUCGGUCGUUUGAAAUUUGGGUUUAGUUUAACGACUUUUCGGUCGUUUGAAUGUGGGUUGUUUAGUUUGACGACUUUACGGUCGGUUGAAAUUUGGGUUUAGUUUAGCGACGUUUCGAUCGUUUGAAAUCGAGAUGUUCAUGAAGCUUAUUCAUGAAAUUAAUUCAUGCUAGGAGCCCGUUUGUAAAGUCCAUUGAAUUAAUUGAUGAAAUUAAUUCAUGAUAGGGGCCAUUUGGAGAGCCCAUUGAAUUAAUUCAUGAUAAGGAGCCAUUUGGAGGGCCCAUUAAUUCAUGAAAUUAAUCUAUGACAAGGAGGGCUCAUAAAAUUAAUUCAUAGAAUUAAUCCGUGAUAAAGGGCCUAUUUGGCAAACCCAUGAGAUUAAUUUAUCGAAUUAAUUCAUGAUAGAGAGGCAUUUGGAAAGCCCAGGAAAUUAAUUCAUAGAAUUAAUUCAUAAUAAAUGGCCCAUUUGGAAAGCCCAUGAAUUCGGUUUGGGUUGGAGGUAUUUGGAUGACAUAGGUUUGGUAGAUUUGAUUGGGUUUUAUUUAUGGACUUUCGAUUUUGAAUCUUUGGGUUUUGGAUCUUUAUUUGUGGGCUUUGGAUCUUUAGGAUUUUGUUUUUGGGCUUUGGAAUCUUUGUGAUUUUAUUUGUGGACUUUGAAUUUUUGGGAUUUUUAUUUGUGGGCUUUGAGAUUUUUGAGAUUUUUAUUUGUGGGCUUUGGAAUUUUUGGAAUUUUAUUUGUGGAUUUUGGGAUCUUUGUUAUUUUAUUUGUGGACUUUGGAUUUUUGGGAUUUUUAUUUGUGGGCUUUUGGAUUUUUGGAAUUUUAUUCGUAGACUUUGGAUUUUGGAUCUUUGGAUUUUGGGUUAAGAAAUCUAUUCAUAUGAAUUUUUUAUUUCUUUUGGACCCAAAUCUGCAUGUGGGUUAAGAUUGUUUCGGGCUUUAUAGGGUCUGGGCCAUGGACCCGAAUCUGUAUGUGGAUUUGGAUUAGUUUCGGACUUUACACGUUUUGGGCCUUGGACCCAAAUCUGCAGGUGGACUGAAAUAGAUCUUGGAUUUUAUAUGUUCCGGGCCCAAUUCUGUAUGUGGGCUGAGUCGGAUUUUGGGCUUUAAUAUUCUGGGCUUUGGAUCCGAAUUUACAUGUGUGCUCUGUAUUAUUAUUUUUUUUGACUGCUUAUGAAAUUGUUUAUUGGGCCAUUUUCAAAAUAAUUCAAACCCAACUCCUCAGGUUUUUUUUUUUUUUUUCUUUUUUGACUGAGAGAAAUAAAAACUCUUCUUUUUUUUUUUGUUCUUUUCUUCUUUUCUUUUCUUUUCUUUUCUUUUCUUUUCUUUUCUGUUGAUUCUUUUUCUUUUCCUUUUUUUUUUCCUUUUUUUUUUUUACUUGUUGUGUUUCCCCUUUCUUUUCUUUUUUUAUUUUUGAAGUCUGAGAGAGAGAGAGGGAAAGAGUUGCAACCCAACUCACUCUCUGUACGACACUGAGAAACAGAGAGAGAGAGAGAGAGAGGGGGUUGCUCUCCUCUUUUUUUUUCUUUUCUUUUCUUUUUUUUUUGUUUUGUCUAAAUAAACGAAGUUGAUCACGUCGAGUCAUACAAUCGGAUCGAACGAGAAUGGCGAAUCGAAACAGAACCCGUUUAUUUAUUAUUAUUAUUAUUAUUAUUAUUUUAUCACGUUUUGUUCAAGUACGCAGAGUUUAAUCGUGUCGAGCCUAUCGCGAAGAUGGCCGCAUGAUUUUUUUAAUACCCAUGUCGAGCCUAUCACGAAGAUGGCCGCAGGGCUUACGUAAUAAAACCUCCGGUUCGAUCAAUUAUUUUGACCAUGUCGAGCCUAUCGCGAAGAUGGCAGCACGAUUUUUUUUUAUACUCAUGUCGAGCCUAUCACGAAGAUGACCGCACGGCUUACGUAAUAAAACCUCCGGUUCGAUCAAUUAUUUUGACCAUGUCGAGCCUAUCGCGAAAAUGGCCGCACGGCUUGGAGAUUAAUAAUACAUACGCACGGCGGAAGUGACGAUUUGAUGUUAGAUUUGAUCGGUUCGAAACCUAUCACGAAGAUGGUCGGGUUGAUCAAACCAACAAAAAAAAUCACACUUACGCUACGCGUACGCAUGCGUAUCUCCUGUUGUUGUAGAAAUCGUCGUAGUUGCCGUUGUCGAAGUCGUCGUCGUCGUCGUCGCGUCGUCGUUAGAGUCAAAACCUUUUCUUUUUUUUUCUUUUUUUUGUGUGUGUACGGAUUGGAGAGGGGUGCACAUGGCACCCCUCCACUGUCAACCGAGAGAGAGAGUGAGAGAGUGAGAAAGAUUGAUAAAGUGAGAGUGAGAGGUAGGGAGUAUAUAAACUCCCCUUUUUUUUUCUUUCUUUUUUCUUGCUGAAAAGAGAAUUCUCUCUCUUUUUUUUAUUCUACAACUUGGACCAAUUAAUAGGGAUCCAAGAAUCUUUUUUUUUUUUAGAACUAAUUCAAAAUAAGUUUCUCCAAAGAAAACUUAUUAUUCUCCACCUCUUAUAAGAAAUUAGAUAUUCAAUCAAAAUUUUUUUUUCCUUUCUCUUCUUUUUUUCUCUUUUUUUUUAAAAAAAUUCUUUCCUUCUCUUUUUUUAUUUCCUUUUUUUUAUUAUUUUUUAUUAUUUUUUUUAUUUUUUUGAUUUCGAAUGAACUAGGAUUCCUAGUCUAAUUAUUCUCUAAUUUUAUUCUUAUAUAUAGAUGUCACUUUAUUUUUUUUUUACUCAAACAAGGCUUGCGGUACCCACUGGAAGGGAAGACAUGUGUACAUAUUCUCACCUCCCACCCUCAUUUCAGGUGACAUUACUGAUCCGAGUCGGAAUGGUACGUGAGGCGCGUGAUUAGUGGUCGUAGUGCUUUCGACCCGGUCCAUUGGUUUAGUCACUACCUUUACUAUUUCUGAAUAAUUAACUUAGACUCUUUAUGGUUUAGUGGUUUCACUUAAAUAAAUGUUUAUGGCUUUGUGAAGUUAAUUAAAGCACUCGUGAUUUUCAUGUAAAAUAUUGGAAUUAUUUUCUACCCUUCGUGGUAGCAUUUUAAAGGAAAAAGUUUCCGUGUGGAAAAUAGUUUUAAAAAGGGUUUACUGGUUUUUCGUAAUUUUUAGUAUUUCAAAAUGAGUUUCCGAGUGGGAAACAUUUUAAACUAAUAGAUGUGGAUUUACGAAUAUCUGUGAUGAAAUGAAUGGUGUAUGUGAAUGGUGUUUGUAUGUAGAUGUUCAUACUUGUGGUUGUAUCUUAUACUUAUGCGACGCCAUGCANCUUUGAUCAUAUUACACCUUAAUAAAAAUAUUAUAUGAUUAAGGUGGGGCAUUUUGUAAAUAUAUAAAAGGGAAUAGACUAAUAUGCUAUUUUAUAUACCCGUACGUAUUAUUUUUUUCGCAAUCCGGUGCAUGAGAUAUUUUCAAAAUUUAAAUUUUAUCCAUGCACCUGGUGCAUGGAUGAUCUCAUAAGCCAUCUCUAUUUUUAUUUCUUUCUCUCCCUCUUUUUUUUAUUCCUCUGUCUUUUUUUCUUUUUAAAACUAUUUCUGAAUAAUUAACUUAGACUCUUUAUGGUUUAGUGGUUUCACUUAAAUAAAUGUUUAUGGCUUUGUGAAGUUAAUUAAAGCACUCGUGAUUUUCAUGUAAAAUAUUGGAAUUAUUUUCUACCCUUCGUGGUAGCAUUUUAAAGGAAAAAGUUUCCGUGUGGAAAAUAGUUUUAAAAAGGGUUUACUGGUUUUUCGUAAUUUUUAGUAUUUCAAAAUGAGUUUCCGAGUGGGAAACAUUUUAAACUAAUAGAUGUGGAUUUACGAAUAUCUGUGAUGAAAUGAAUGGUGUAUGUGAAUGGUGUUUGUAUGUAGAUGUUCAUACUUGUGGUUGUAUCUUAUACUUAUGCGACGCCAUGCAAAUAUAGGGGAGACUAUGUCCGUGUGAAUAGUGGAUACCCUGUAUCUGUGGUACUUAUGGUUGUCACUGGGGUCGAGGUUAAAAAAAAAAAAAACUUGGGCACUUCCACAUUAGCUUUUAAAUCCAAAAAGAUAUCAGAGCCAAUUACCAGCCGGAAAUGUGUGGCGAGUCUCGGCUAAGCCAGGGUUUGAAAGACAAGGUGAUAGAUUAUGUCGGAGUUUGUAUGACAACGUGACCGGCUAUGCCAGCGUUUGGAUAACAAGGCUAGUGAGGCGAGUCUCACAUCGCCUGGUGAUCUUGGAUUGUGUGUGUGAUUGGACUGACGAGGACGUCAGGGCCUUAACGGAGGGAGUCUGUAAUCCCACAUCGGAUAGAAAUGGAUGUGUGAUUGGGUAUAUAAGAGACUUAGACACUAGUAAUAAUAACUGGGCUUAAGCAUUUUGAGCUGGUGGCUGGGCUCAACGAGUUAUUAUUGCUAGCAGGUCAGGUCGUUACAAAAACGCCAUUCGACGGUGAAGUUUGUGGUGUGAAACACGGCUUGGUGGCGGGAUUUGGGCCGUGAAGUCCGAAUCUGUUAUAGGCCAAACACUUGUCGAAUAGAUUGGAAUGUAAACCACCAUUCGGCAGCGAGAUUCGGGACGUGAAACACAGCUCGGUGGGCGUGAAGCACGAAUCCGUUGCAGGACAAACAUCUGCGUCAAACAGGUUAAUUUGGAAUGUAAAAUACUAUUUGACGGCAAGGUUUGGAGAUACGGAACCAUUACCUGCCAAACACAUGUCAAAUUAAGUAGCGAAUUUAUCCUGUUGGAUAUGAUUGUGACAUGUCAAGAGAAGCAUUCGAACGUCAAAUUAAGUAGCGAAUUUACCAUGUUGGAUAUGAUUGUGACAUACUAUUGAUGGCGAGGUUUGGAGCGUGAAACACAAUUCGACGGCAGAAUCUGUACACGUCAAAUACGGAACCAUUACCUGCCAAACACACGUCAAAUUAAGUAGCGAAUUUAUCCUGUUGGAUAUGUUGUGACAUGUCAAGAGAAGCAUUCCACGUAAAUUAAAGUAGCGAAAUUUAUCAUGUUGGAUAUGAGUGUGACAUGUAUUCCAACGUCAAUUAAUAGUAAGCGAAUUUAUCAUGUUGGAUAAUGAUUGUGACAUGUCAAGAAAAGCAUUCCAAGGCCUUCCAGGUGUAAGGACGACAUGCGUUGCCAAUUUACUGUGACAUCUAUUUUCUGUGACAUCAUUUAUUUGCCAAAUUGGAGAAGAAUAUUCAUCUUUUUUUUUUUUUUACUGUAACUCUAUUUGUUUACUCGUGUUUAGGCGAUCUUUAAUACCAAAACAUGCCAAAUAGAGAAAGAGUUCAUCAUCUCCAAAAAAUUAGAAAAUUUUCAAAUAUUCAUAUAUUUUAUCCAAUUAAUACCAUCCAAAACUAUAUCCUUAAUCUCCAGAAAAUUUAUUAUAUUAUUAAAAAUCAAAAUAAAUUUUUAUUUUUCUGAAUUUUUGUAAAUACUAACAUGGUCGACCAAUUUUUAUAUUUUUAUCAUAUUUAUGGUUGAAUAAAAAAAAUUGCAAAAUUUAUCGAUCUUCACGGUUUCAUUUUUUCAAUGCAUUGCGUAUUCGAAGCACCUAGUUAAUUAAGACUGAAAGGAAUAAGGAAAAAAAAAAGGUAUUACAGAAAGCCAAGUGACCCUACAUUAGUAGAAAUUUAUAUUAGCAGCGUAGUAGGGCCGAGUUCAUUGAAUAAUUUUUUGUGAUUCAAUUAUUACAGGUCUAAAUAAUUAAUUCUUAGAUGGAGAUCAACAUGUAAUUUUUUUGUAAGAUAUAUUAAUUGGUUGGCGACUAACAGACCUUUCAUUUAUUUUACUAACUUUAUAUAAAGAAAUCAAGAUCAGUGUUGAGAGUAAAAUUUAUUCUAAACAAAUAAAGUUGAAGUGAAAAUAUUUUUAAAAAAUCCAAAAAGUAUUAGGCGCAAUAAAUUAACCUUUAAGCUAGCUCUUUAUUCAAGCCAUACUAUCUCACCAUUAAUAAUAUUUAUUCUUUUGUUUUUUAUAAUCAUAAUAUUAUUCCCACAAUUUGAUGAUAGAUUUAUAAAAAACUUAUUGUUUAAUAUAUUUUAAAUAUAUUUAUUUAUAAAAAAAACUAUAAUAAUAAUAUUUAUAGUAUAAUAAUUAUUGUAUAUAUAAUAAUAUAUAUAUAUAAUAUAUAUAUAAUAUAUAUAAUAUAUAUAUAUAAUAAAUAAUAUAUAUAUACUAUAUAUACUAAGAAAAUGUACGUGCAAAUGCACAUAAUAAUAUAUUAGAAAAAGUUAUAAUUUUUUAAAUUAUUUUUUAAUAUUUUAGGUCAUAUUAUAUGAUUUGCCAAUAUGUAUCUAAAAAAUUUAAAAUAAUAAAUCACACGCUAUUAAGAAAGAUAUAUCUUUAAAUGAUAAAUAAUUAACAAUAAUCUCUUAAUGCAAAAAUUUACUUUUGAACUUAAAUAAGAAAAAUAAAAUCUGUUAGGAAAAUAAAGAUUUUUGAAAAUAUUAAAUAAAAUAAAAAUCCGUUAUCUUAAAAAGAUAUAUAUAUUUUGAAAUUAAAUAGAUAAUACUAAAAAAGAUUUUUUAAAAAUAAAAUGAAAAAUAUCUUUUAUUAGGAUUUCACACCCGUAAUCUGUUAUAGAAAACUUACUUUUUGAAAUUAAAUAGAAAAAUUUAUAUUUUUAGAAUUUUCACAUCAGUAAUCUUUUAUAGAAAACUGAUACGUAUUCAUUAUGCUGGGUGUCAGUUCUAUUUUUAAAUUCUUAUAUUAAAUUUUGUUCGUACGGAAAGAAAAAUAAAUGGGGCUGGAUAAUUUUCUCAGAGACAUCCGGAAUGGAAUGGUCUGUCGACGCGAGUCCCAAAUUUGGAAUAUACGCUUUUUAUGAUAUAGCUAGAUAUAUAGAUAUAGGUCCAAGAUAAUUCGAUUUUAAAUGUCUUUGUGCUAACUUAUUAUUAAAUAUCUAAUUGUCUAUAUAUUCCUUUUGAAAUAUUGAUUUACCUAAUUUUUUUUUCUCUUAUAAAAUACUUCCUUUAGAUAGUUGCAACUUAUGUGCAAAAUAUACGCCCCAAUUAUCCUAUGUUAAAAAGAAAUAGAAUGCUAUUACCGAAGUGACUAAGAGCGGUAUAUUAGAAAAAGACCAAAAAUUAAUAAAGCUUUACCGCUGCGAUAGCGGAAGGGUAUAUUCGAAAGGGAAAAAAUAAUGUUUUUACAGGUAAUAGAGUUAAAUGAACAUUAUUAAACUCUAGGGUAUAUUAGAAAUAGGUUUGAAAACAUAGAAAGUGUAUUUUAAUAUAUUAACCUUCUAGAUAAGAAAGGUAGCUCUGGAAAUGUUGGAAACUUUUUAGGAGUAUAUAGCAUUGUCGCCUAUUAAUAUAUAGAGUUAGAUCAAUUGGAAUGAGAAUUCAAAUAAAAGAAGAUGGUAAAACAUUUUAGCUACAAAAAAAUCAUUAAAGUUAAUUUCUAAUUUACAUAUAAAUUGUAAACAAAAGAUCUUUAAGGUACCUUAAUUAGUGAGGAACAUGUGGGCCCCUACAACAAGCAUGCUCCAUUAGUUUAUCAAUAUUAUGUAGAGGAAUUCAAACUAAGAUCAUCUGUUAGCUCCUUAUAAUUAUGAGGACAUUUGGUGAGCAAUAAAAAGUAACGAUAUUAAAUACUAUUCGAUAUCAACUACCAAAAGAGGUUCUUACAUGUGUUAACUUUAUAUAUCUAAUCGCUCAUUUUUAUAUACAAUAGAUUAUUAAUAAUUAUUACAAAUUAUUCAACAAAGAUAAUAUCACUUAGAUUUACAAAUUUUUGCAUUCCUAUAUUACGUAUGAUUAUUAAAGCAAAUUAUACAAAUUAUUACAACAAAGAUAAUAUCCAUUAGAUUUACAAACAUUCGUAAGGAGCAGCAUAUUUAUAUAUAAUUCUUUAUUUCUUGUCUCCAGAGCCUUCGCUAUCACUACAAAGAAAACAAUGUGAUAUGAGUGUUGUUGUGUAAAGUUAUUUUAUAAGUAAAGUGGGAAUGCACGUUGAGCAGUACCUAAGACAAUGCCUCUUGGGAUAUUGGAAUUCGCAUAAUUUAUCAGACGCAUGUGCUGAACUGCUGUUGAGAGAAAUUGAACAAUUCCGAUGUUAAUAAGAAGAAGUCUUAAAUUUGCAAGGCAAAAAAUUCAAGGAUGAGAAAACUACAUUACCUGGAUGAGCUGCCGGGAGUUGCAGAAAUCUCUUCUAAUAAUUCUGUGGGAGCUUGCCUUUUAUUGGCAGUUAAGGCAAGCUGGUCUUCAGAUUUUAUCAAUAUAUUAUCUCUGUUCUGACCCUUUCCUUUUGAAUCAUUGUUUAGGGUAAAAAUUUUAAGGACUUUAAAAGAUGGCGUGCCUGAUCUAAAGCUUUGUGAAUCAAUAACAAUUUGAAAAAUAUGCGUUUGGUCAAUGAUUGUUUUGACUAUAGGGGGAAGAACGAAUCUAUCUGAGUUAACCGCAACAGCUAAAUUUUGUGCUGGAAUACGAAUUAAAUCCUGCGCUAGUUUUCCGAAGAUAGUGAAAUUUGUUAUGCCGCUCCUGUCUUCAACAAUGGUGCUCAAUUUAUACCUAUUGUUUUGUGAGAAACAUGAUCAUUAGUUAAUAGCAUGUGUAUAUAAAAGAAUUAGUGUUUCGGUUCAUAUAUUUAAAGAUUCUAAAAGUAGUUACCACGGAAUAGGAGAUUGUUCAUUAUUGGUGCAACGGGAACACCAAAAUGUAUCGUCAUAUAUCUUGACGGCUGCUUUGCAAUUAUGACAUGCUUUAUACCACCAGCCGUACGAUGUGUCAAUUUCGAUAAUUUUAGCCUCGCAUGUGAACUUUACAUUCUAUCGAUGUAAAAAAAUGAAGGGACGAAAUCAUAUUAAUAAACAGUAGCAUAAGAAAAUUAGGAAUGAUUGUUUUCCUAUAAACUUACUUCAGCAUCAUCGAAGUUAAGGUUUAGGAGUUCGGCGAUUGAUUUUCUAUUCUCACACAUUUCUUCUUGUGGAGGAAUAGGUUUUUGUUCACCAUAAGUAAUUCGUUGGAUUGCAUCAUAAUCCUUGCCGAUUCUGCAUUUAAUAAGGCAUAUAGUGAUAAAAUGCAUUAAGAAAAUACAAAGGAAAAGAUCAUANAGAAAAAAAAAAAAAAAAAAAAAAAAAAGAGGGAGGAAGGAUGGGGCGGCGUGGCGGACGCGUGCCACCACGCCACCUGGGCGCAUUAAGCGCGGCCCACAAAGGGCCGCACUAGGCAGCCUGUAAUGGGGCUGCCUAGGUAGCGGUCAAGGCAGCAAUAGAAUAUUUAUUUAUUUAUUUUUCUUUAAUAAAAGAAAGGAUAAAGAUAUAUAUAUAAUUUUGGUUUAUAAUUUUCUUUAUAAUGUGACUAAUUUAUGAAGAAGUCUAUUUAUUAAAAUUAUGUAUAACUUUUGGUAUUUGUUAUAUAUAUAAUUUCUAUUCUACUUGCUUGUUUAUUCAUGAUAUAAAGUAGUAUGUUUAGUUUAAUAUUUUACAGUAUAUUUUUGUAUUAUUACUCUAAACAUAUAUAAAGUCAUCAUGAAAAUUUUAGAGUAGAGAAUAUAGACUUCAUACAGUUUAUAAAUUUUGAGUCACAUAAAGUUGUAAAGAAAAUUACUUUGGACUUUUAUUUUUCCGCUGCGUUUUGGAAUAAUAUGAAAUUUUCGGUCAUUCAAUAUCAUAUAAAGGUUAAUGUGAGAUUAAUUAUGGAUAUUUGAUCACUUAUGGUAUUUUUAUAAGAUGAUAUUGAUUUAAAGUCAACCCGAAAAUUCAUAUGGAUUCCUAAUUUAUUUUUAAAUAGUCAUUCAAUGUCAAACAAUGUCAUUCAAUGUCAAAUAAAGUUAUUUGUAUUUUUCAUUAUGCUCAGGAGUAGCCACAGCAUCCUAUAGAUAAUGAAAAAUAUAUAAAGUAUUAUUGAUAUUGAAUUAAAGUUAUUUGUAUUUUUCAUUAUGCUUAGGAGUAGCCACAGCAUCCUAUAGAUAAUGAAGAAUAUAUAAGGAUUUACUGAUAUUGAAAUAAAGUUUGACUAUUUAUUGCAGUCAGAUAAAAAUUAAUCUUUUGAUUUUGACUGGAAUAAGAUAGUAGUUUGAAUUUCUAGAUAGCGAGUUUUCUUAUGCCCACAGGUACACAAAUUUUGUUGUUUAGAAAUAAGUUUUCUGCUAGUCUUAUUAUUAAAGUAGAUAAAUUCUAUGCGUGUAGCGCCUCUGCCCACAGGAAGGUAGAAUUUAUCUAAUCUAAAGAUUAUUAUUUAGCAAGCGAUAAAGUUCUAUAUUUCCUUUGUUUUUGCAGUUUUUUCCUCUACUGCACUUCUUAAUGAUGUUUCUCGUAUUCCUAUACUUACUGAGGACAAUUAUUCUGAUUGGAAAGAAAUUAUUUCUUUUACUUUGGGUUAUAUGGAUUUAGACUUGGCUCUGCGCGUUGAGCAACCGCCUAAGGUAGUGGGGCCAAUGACUCCAUAGCAGAAAUCCGCGCAGGAAAAGUGGGAGCGAUCCAAUCGCUUAAGUUUGAUGCUCAUAAAGUCUAGAGUAUCAAAAAGCAUAAUGGGGUCAAUUCCAGAAUGUGAUAAAGCCAAGGAUUACCUAAAGGCCAUUGAGGAGCAGUUUGCUAGCUCCUAUAAAGUUUGUCUCGAAAAGAAGGGUAUUGAAACUAUCUAUAUUUGUUAUGAAUCUCAUUUAGUUAAUGUUCCUAAAAACACAUGGUGGAUUGACUCUGGAACUACUGUACAUAUUUCAAAUACCAUACAGGGUUUUCAUAAUCUAACGAUGUUAAAGCCAAAUGAAAGGAUUUUAAUUAGCGGAGAAGGAAAUAAAUCUCAAGUUGAAGCCGUAGGAAAGUUUAUUUUAGAACUUAAAACUGGUUUCAUACUUGAACUUGAGGAUACUUUUUAUGUUCCUAAAUUUUCUAGAAAUUUAGUUUCUGUUUCUAAAUUGAGAAAUAAAGGUUUCAAAUUUUUAUUUGAAAAUGAAUCUUUUACUAUGUUCUCCGAUAAUAUUAUUGUUGGCAAUGAUUGUUUGGUAGAUGAUUUGUACAAAUUUAAUUUGAGUCAAUCUUUUGAAAAUAAUUUUAAUGUUGAUCAUGACAUUGGUGUUAAAAGGAACAUUAUUAAAGAAAACUCCUCAUUUUUAUGGCACAAGCGUUUAGCUCAUAUCUCUUUAGAGAGAAUAAAGAGGUUGGUAAAAGAAAAGAUCUUACAAGAUCUUGACUUUACCGAUUUUGGUACUUGUGUGGAAUGCAUAAAGGGAAAGCAUACUAACACAAAUACCACUAAAGGUGCCAGAAGGAGUUCUGAAAUUCUUGAGAUCAUACAUACAGAUAUCUGUGGACCUUUUCCUACUCCUUGUUUCAACGGUCAGAGAUAUUUUAUCUCAUUUAUUGAUGACCAUUCAAGAUAUAUGUAUCUCUAUCUCUUAUUUGAAAAAGCUGAGGCUCUUGAUGCUUUUAAAGCUUAUAAGGUUGAGGUAGAGAAACAAUUGGAUAGGAAAAUCAAGAUUGUAAGGUCCGACAGAGGGGGUGAGUAUUAUGGAAGACAUACGGAUAAAGGUCAAAUGAUCGGUCCAUUUGGUCAAUUCCUCAAAGGUGAAGGCAUCAUUGCACAGUAUACGAUGCCUGGCACGCCUCAGCAAAAUGGCGUUGCCGAAAGGAGGAAUAGAACACUCAUGGACAUGGUAAGGAGCAUGAUUAGUAGCUCUUGUCUUCCAUCUUCUCUUUGGAGUGAAGCACUAAAGACAGCGGUGUAUAUUUUAAAUAGGAUUCCAUCGAAGGCUAUUUCCAAAACUCCUUUCGAGUUAUGGAAAGGAUGGAAACCUAGUUUAAAUCACCUGCACGUAUGGGGAUGUCCAGCUGAGGUGAGGGUUUAUAAUCCACACAUAAAGAAAUUGGACCCUCGAACAGUCAGUGGAUAUUUCAUUGGCUAUGCGGUAAACUCCAAAGGAUUCAGGUUCUAUUGUCCAAAUCACCCAUCCAAGAUAGUUGAGGCCAGGAAUGCUAAAUUUCUUGAGGAUUCUGAAACUAGUGGGAGUGUUGUUCCUCAAAAGAUGGAUUUUGAGGAAAUAAGGGUUUCAACUGGUUAUCCAUCAACAGAUAAUAAUUUAGUUGCUCUACCAGGAGGUCAAUUUGACCAUAAUGGAGAUCAAUUAAUUUUAGAGCAUGAAAAUGCUGAACCAGUUGAACCUCCCCAUGAAGAGCUGUCCCAAGAGGAACAGAUAAUUAUAGAGCCAGCUGCACAGAAUAAUGAAAAUCUGCAGGAAGAGGUUGGCUUAAGAAGAUCCUCAAGACAAAGGAGAUCGGCGAUUCCUGAUGAUUAUGUAGUCUAUCUUCAGGAGUCUGACUUUGAUGUUGGACACCAUAAAGACCCAUGGACGUUUUCAGAAGCCAUGCAGGGAGAUAAAUCCUCCCUAUGGUAUGAUGCCAUGAAGGAAGAGAUGAAAUCUAUGACGGAUAACAAAGUUUGGGAUCUCGUUGAAUUACCACAAGGAGUCAAAGCCAUUGGCUGUAAAUGGGUCUUCAAGACCAAAAGGGACUCUUUAGGUAACAUAGAACGACAUAAGGCCAGACUUGUUGCCAAAGGUUUCACUCAGAAAGAAGGCAUUGAUUAUCAUGAAACCUUCUCUCCGGUAUCUAAGAAGGAUUCAUUAAGAAUUAUCAUGGCUUUGGUAGCUCAUUUCGAUUUAGAGUUACAUCAAAUGGAUGUGAAAACGGCAUUUCUAAAUGGGGAUAUAGAGGAGAUAGUCUAUAUGCAACAGCCCGAAGGUUUCAGCACAGAUGAAAGUAAUCACCUUGUUUGCAGACUAAAGAAAUCUAUAUACGGACUUAAACAGGCUUCCCGUCAGUGGUAUAUCAAGUUUCAUAAUGUAAUUACUACAUUUGGUUUCGUAGAAAAUAUUGUGGACCAGUGUAUAUACCUUAAGGUUAGUGGGAGUAAGUAUAUUUUCUUAGUUCUGUAUGUGGAUGAUAUUCUGCUUGCAAGUAGUGAUUUGAGUUUGCUUAAAGAUACCAAAGAUUUUCUUUCUAAGAAUUUUGAGAUGAAGGAUAUGGGUGAAGCCUCUUUUGUCAUUGGCAUAAAGAUUCACAGAAAUAGAUCUCAAAGGAUUUUGGGUCUAUCUCAGAAAGCCUACAUCGAAAGAGUUCUAGAAAGAUUUAAUAUGGCAAACUGUGCACCUACAGCUGCACCUAUUAUAAAAGGUGACAGGUUCAAUCAGAAACAGUGUCCUCAGAAUGAUUUAGAACGAGAACAUAUGAAGAGCAUACCCUAUGCCUCUGCAGUAGGGAGCUUAAUGUAUGCGCAGGUCUGUACCAGACCUGAUAUAGCUUAUGCAGUGGGGAUGUUGGGUAGAUACCAAAGCAACCCUGGCCUUGAUCAUUGGAAAGCUGCAAAGAAGGUUAUGAGAUAUUUACAAGGAACAAAGGAUUAUAUGCUCACCUACAGACAUUCUGACCAUCUUGAGGUGGUUGGAUAUUCGGACUCUGAUUUUGCUGGAUGCGUGGAUUCUAGAAAGUCCACAUCAGGAUAUAUUUUCUUACUUGCUCAAGGUGCUAUAUCUUGGAGGAGCACUAAGCAAGAUACAGUUGCUACAUCCACUAUGGAGGCAGAGUUCAUCGCUUGCUAUGAGGCUUCGUCACAGGCUUUAUGGCUGAGAAAUUUUAUCUCAGGUUUAAGAGUUGUCGAUUCUAUCUCAAGGCCAAUUAAGAUUUAUUGCGACAACUCUGCUGCAGUGUUCUUUGCCAAGAAUAGUCGAGUUACAGAUCGCAGCAAACAUAUCGAUAUAAAGUACCUUGCUGUGAAGGAAUACGACAAGAAGAAGGUGGAUAUCCAACACAUUGGGACCGAGAGGAUGAUUGCUGAUCCUAUGACUAAAGCAUUGCCGGCAAACAAAUUCAAGGAUCAUAUUCAUCAUAUGGGUAUCUUGAGUCCAUUUACAGUUUAAGUGUUUUCUUCUUGUAUAAAGACUUUAAAGACUAUUUUUAUUUGAGUAAGAACACAUUUUGGUUUUUGCACAUAUGCGCAUAAAGUUAUUUUUGUACAUUAAAGUUUUAUUGUGCACUAAAGUGGGACUCUGAGUUGAACUUAUAAUAAGUUCAUACGGUUGUAACUCAUAAAGUUAUUUGAUUAAGGAAUUCGUACUUUUGAUACAUGGAAGGAAGUGUUCAUCUUUUGGGGCAUAACCGCUAUGAUCAAAGUAUUGUGAUUUCUUGAUCAAGUGGGAGAUUUUGACUGUAUAAUUUAGUUGGUACCUAAUAAAGUUUUUGUAUCGCCUAUACGGUAAUAAAUAUAUCACUAGACCAAGUGGGAGAAUGUUGGAUGUGGCCCACGUGAUAUAUUCAAGACGAUCCAUAAAGAUACGGUCAAUCUAUUUAAGUCGAUCUAUAAAGAUAUUUUAGAUCUUACGGUUAGGAUGUAUCUGGACACGUCCUUGAUGGACGGACGUGAUUUAACAUCCUUACAUUAAGUUAUAUAUAAAUAUGUAACAUACGGGAGUCCCGGUCUAACCCUAAUCCAAUUGUCUGUGACGGCUCCAUCUCCGGGGAUAAGGGAAUUAGACUCGAAACGUCCCGUCUUCUUGCAGAUCACAAACGAGGACGAACCACGAGAAAGGAUCACCGCUUACAAAUCGGGUACAGAAAUCGAAAUCAUGGCAGAAGGUACAAUCUAGUUUCUUAUAAAAUUUCUAACAUAUGAACCAUAUAUGGACAAAUAUAACUUUAAUAUCUGGCCCUUUAGUUUUGUUGGUUUUUAGAUUUAAUUGUUCGAGUAAUCUUAAGGAUAUGAUUGUGAAUAAGAAACUAACAAAUGCUAAUCCAUUGAUUAACGGAUUUGCAUAUUGUAUGAUCACUUGCUUGUCUGUUUCUCAUUGAAACAUAAACCGUAUUGUAUUAGUAUUGUCAUUUGUGUCUUCUAUUGUUGGCCCUUUAGUCCCCUUCGACCAGUGUUGCAUCGACCAUUUUAAUUAAUUCAUGGAGGCAAAUGUUUAUAAGGGGUUUCCGGCAUUUUAGCUUUAGUGCGUUAGUUAAUUUUGUACCUUAGUUUGUCCUGAUACUUUUCUCACAUGUUUCCUGUAUUAGGCUUUAAAUGCUCAUGGGUGAAAAUGUCACUGAAAGACUUCUGGUUGCCUUGUUAUCCGAGUUCACGACCAAUUUCUAUUGAAGUUAAUCAUUAAAAAUUUCAUCUUGUAUGGCAUGUUUUUUAAAAUGCUUCUUCUCUAUUUAUCUAUUAUUUAUUUUGUCUAUGACUAUAGAAGAUAUUGUUGUAAGUUAUUUUUCUUAUAUGUUUGUAAAAUAGGUUCUUGAUGAUUCGAGUGCUCGUUACGACAAAGUUGCACAAAAUGCAGGAUGUUCUAGUUCUUUUUUGUACACCUCAGUUUCGUGACAUGGUAAUUAUUUCUUAUAUAUUCUAAAUAUAUUUUCUUAGCAUAUUUGUUAAUAAUUUUUUAACUGUUAUUCUUAUAUAUUUUUCUUGCAGAUUAUUCUUUUUAAGCCCAUGAAUCUUUUCUAUUAGAAUCUUCACUCUUUAAGGAUGAGUCUUUGUGAACUGUAAUUUGAACUUCUCUAUUGGAGCACAUAGAAUUUUUUUUUCGUCUAUAAAAUUUUUUAAUUACAUAUUAGUCUUCUUGUAGUUCGAAUUUUUUUUAGCUAUCUAAUGUUUGAUUGACAUUUGUUUUGUGAUAAAAAUUGAUUUUGACAUUUAUUUGUAUUCGCAACACUUUUGAGAAUGUAAUAGUUCAACUUAUUUGAUAUUCAUAAAAUGUUGGGUUUUUAAUUUUCAUUGUCUAUGCACUAUCUUUUGAAAUUUUUAUAGUGAUUAAUUAAAUAUAUGAUUUUAAUGAUGAUUUAAUAUUUUUUAUAUUUAGUGGCUAUUUAUCUUAUCUUUGUUGACAUUUGUAAUUAAUGUUAGAUAUUUUAUGGGCAAAUAUAUUUUGCUUUUAGUGGCUUUUUUAAUUGCCGGUAUAGAGUAAUCUUUAGCGGCAAUUGUUUUGCUCUUUACCGGCCGCCAAUAUAAUUGCCGCUAAACUUUUACUGUGGAAUACUGAUUUGUUAUCACUCGGACGCAGUGUACAUUGCUAGUUAAUGUGUGGGCACGAAGAUGAAAUGAGGUGAAACCGUUUUGGCGCGAAAUUGACGCGAAAACGGAUGAAUUGGGCCAAUGUUUCAUUAUGAGGGACCAAAUUGCAAAUAGCAAAAAUGGUGGGCCAAGUUGCAAAAUGGCUUGUUCUUAUCCCUUUCUUCUCUUUCUGUUUCUCAGAUUUUUUUAAGUAAAGAAAAUCAAAAGGGAAAAGAAAGAAUAGAAAAGAAGAAGAAGAAGAGGAGGUUUGAUUUCUAGUUUCUUUUCUUUUCCUUUUCCUUCCCUUUACUUUCCUUUUUCUUUCUUAUCUCUCUCCCUCUCACCCCCUCUCCCUGCUGCUGCUGAGCUGCUGCUGCUGCGAGCAGAGCAGCAGCAAUAGCCUGCUGCUGCGAGCAGAGCAGCAGCAGCAGUCCACUGCUGCUCACUGUUUCUGCUCACUACAGAGCAGCAGCAACAAGCUGCUGCUGCUGCUGCUGACUGCAUAAGCAGCAGCAGCAGUAACAGCAGCUGCAAGGGCAGUAUGAGAAAAAAGAAAGAAAGAGAGGGAGAAAAGGAAAAAGAGGAAAAGAUAGAAAGAAUGAAAGAAAGAUAGAAAGAAAAGGGGAAGAAAAUUAAAUACUGAAACGGAAGUGACAUUGGCACAAUUCGCACCCCUAUCAUCAAAUUUGGACCUUGCAGGGUGUCAAGGCAUGUGAUCGAGUUCGUGACGCACGUCCUGCUAGUCGAAUUGUAAGUGUUUUCGGGCGAUCGUGAGCCGAGGAUGUACGUGAGUAGUGCUUUCCUUGCCGGAGUCGAUGUAGCCGUUGAGGUGGGUUCCGAGUCGUCGAAAAUGACGAAAUUCCUUUUAUGUCUAUUUUCCUCGCAUAUACAUAUAUAUAAUGGACUUCAAUAUUGAUAAGGGUCGUGUUAGUAUAAAACUGAGUGGAAGAAUGGCUUUCUAGUGCGCGCAGUCGUGAAGGAUGAUUUAUACAUUGUUUCAAGUAGCCAUGUCAUACUUAUUCAUAUUUAUAUCUAUCGUGAGGGAUGAGUCAUUGCAUAGUGAGUAGGGAUUUUCGUUCAAUCGCAUAUUGCUACGACUUGAGGUCAUUCUGUGUGAAUCCUCUACCGAAUAGCCGUGAAAUAGUGGUUGUUAGCAGCAUAUCAUUUAGACAUUCUAGUAGGUCGUGAGAGGCCAGAUGACACUUUAUGCAUCUUGGUGAGUCAUCUCUUACUCAUUUGUAUUGUGCAUGCCAUUUAUUAUGUGAUAGAGGCCGUGGGUAGCGUGGCGGUAGUAUGCUGAUGUUUUGGUCAUAGUGAGAGCAUAUGCAUUUUAUGAUGUAUUUGGUAGAUACCCUCGAUUAGCGUGGCGAUAGUGGACAGAUUUUGGAUACUGAGAAGUACAUGAUCAUGCUACUGUGAUAUAUGCAUUAUUUGAUAUUCUUUGAUUGUGCCGAGGGUAUCAGAUUGGUUGCUUAUGAUCUUUUGACCAUCAGGUAGACCAUAGCCUGUAGAGCCAUACUGAGUUGGACAGAGAUACGUACUAUUAGACUCAGUAGGGGUCGCUUCCCUUCGAGUGCCGCUCCGGAUGUUGGCCAGUUAUAUGAGAGAUAUGUGUGCCCUUGGGAAGACGACCCACCUGCGGGAGUGGUGUUCGGGCUGGGGGUAGAGCCUAGGUGUCGACGGUGCAUCUGCGGGAGUGCGAUUCCGGCACUAGGCGGGCGCAGGCUUGACCAAACGUACGAGUCGAUUGUUGUGAUUGGGUACUAUUACAACAUUUGUUUAGUAGUAGUUACAUUGUUGCAUACACUAAGUUUCUUUCCUUUCCUCUCGCUACAUAUACAGGGACAUGAUAGUACAGCAGGUAUAGAGACAGGUAUAGAGAGUUGUUUAUAUUACAUGCAGUUAUUCAUUUACUGUUACUUUACAUUUGCCCAUGCAGGUCAUAGCCAGUUAGUCUUCUACUGUACUUGACAUUCAUUUAUACUGCUUAGAGCCAAUUAUCUUGAUUGUUACUUAUGGUCAUUCAUUUACCUGUUCAGUUAAUUUCCCUGUGUACUUGCAUUCAGCUACUUAUUUAUCACAUAUUUUACUGUUCAUUGAUUAAUCUGGCUUCCAGUAGACCUAGUGGAAAGGUCGUGGUUAUCGUUGACCGUACCCACUGGGAACUACUAUUCAGUAGUUCUCACACCCUUUGGUGGUUCACUUUUCAGGGGUUCGUAUACUGACGGUUGAUCGAGGUGAGGGGGACCGCGCAGUAGUUAGCAUCCUCUACCAGCAUGCCUAUACAGUAGAGGACCACCAGAUAGAGUGCUAUUCUGUACAACUUGCUUGCACUGGCAAGGGUCUGGGCUGUUUACGUGUACUUUUCUUUUGAGGUUGAGCUUUAUUUGGUGUAGUUCAUAUUGUACGACAACAUAGUUUGGAAAUAGCGCUCUGAUACAGGUUAUUUGUUUAUUCGUACUUCUUCUUGAUUCAUGUGUUGUGGAUACCCCUCAUGUUUGACCUCGUGGUUUGUCUUGUACUGGUCGUUUUUGUUGACGCUUCGUUCGGACAGGGGAAAUUCUGUCUGUUCGGCGGGUCUGUUGACGUCCUCAUGGACUUCCGUUGUGGACUCGGGGCGUGACAUUUACCGACCCUAUUUAUAGUGGCAAUUAUUACAAUUGCCAGUAAAGAAAGUAGUGGUGAUUAUAAUCACCGCUAAUCUAUGAUAUAAUUGCCACUAAAAGGCAAUUUUGUGGUAGUGAAUUAAGCCGAAGAAUCAGGAAGAUGGUAUUCGGCUGAUCGAAGACUCGGUUGAAUAAACCAAGUUGUUUGUAUUGUGGAAAAACUUGGGUUACAACUAAAGUUAAGGCUACUUCUAGGAAAAGCUAUAAAUGCUAGAAGAGUAAAAAUUACAAGUAAACUAUUUCUACAAAAGCUGUAAAUGUUGAAAGAUUAAAAAUUACAAGUAAACUAUUUUUAAAAAAGUUGUAAAUGCUGAAAUUAGAAAUAUUAAAAAUGCAGUGGUCUUCUCGUUCGUAAGGGAGAAGGACCACUAUUAUAGCUUUUGAAAUUACUAUUUAUAGUAAUAUCUUAUCAGCCUACGUUAUUGGUCGGUUUUAAUAGUAGGGGGAGUGUUGUAGCCAUGACCGGCAUAAGUUACACCCCACUUCUCAACCAUUCCCGCUUAAGGUCUCUCCACCUUCAGGUGCCUUGUUGUCAGCUUCUGGUGCACCAUAUGUCCUCAUUUCUUAAGCUCGUGUGUGGUCCAAGCCGUCUAUCUUAUAACACGCUAAUUUUUUUUUCAUCAUCAAUGGCUCCUCAAUAGUCUUUCAAAUGAACAUUCUGAUAACUAUUGGUGCUAAAUCAACGGCUCAAUUAUAGCCCAGACCGAGCUUUAGUCUUACUGGUCUUGGAAGGCUUAAAGAAAGCACAUUUAUAUGGUUGUCGGCUCUUUACUUUCUAAGCCGCAUACACUUCGGCUUUCUCAUCCGAUUCUUCACUUUCAUCGAUUAGCUUGGCUCUUCUAUAUCCAGUAUAAUGUUAAUGUAGAUAAUGAGUAAAGCUAGAAUGCUAUUGAUUAGGGGUGUCAACGAGCCGAACACGAGCGAGCUGGGGUCGGCUCGUUUCAUAAACAAGCCGAACACGAGCUGGUUUAGUUAAAGCAUUGAGCCGAAUAUGAGUUGGCUUAUGAAUAAAAAUUUAAAAGGAUUAGAAAAAAUAUAUAUAGGAAAUAAAUUUAUAAGAUCUUAUCCGUUAUAUUUUAAUCUAAUAAUUAAAAUUUUAUAUAUAAAUGAAUCUUUCUAUAAUUGAAUUGAGCUUUAUAUUUAGAUUGGGCUAAAUCAAAUAAUAAAAAUUUAUAUUAUAUACAUAUAUAAUUAUUAGUUUAUAUAUAUAAAUAUAAAAUAUAUGUAUUCGAGCUGUUAUCGUCCCGAACACGAGCGAGCUGACCUUGCUCGUGUUCGGCUUGUUUAUUAAACGAGCUGAAAAUUUCGGCUCGUGCUUGGCUCAUUUACUAAACGAAAGAUUCGAUCUCGAACUCAUUUCAAGCCGAAUAUUAGCUGGCUCGUGAAUGGCGAGCUGGAUUGCCACCCCUACUAUUGAUAGUAAAAAAAUAAUAUUUACUAUCUAUUUUGUAGAUCAUAGAUCUCUUGAGUUUUGUGGGUAGGUGUAAUAAUAUUGGUCCAAGAGUUAAAAAAUAGAUAGUAAGCACUAUUUCUUUAAUAUUAAUAGUAUAGACCCUGUAGAUAACAUAGACUUAAUUCUGCAUUUCAAAUUUUUGUGGGAUUUAAUCGUGUAGUAAAAAAUUUGGAGGGGCCUAAAUGCAAAAGAAACCCUUCAUGACUUCAUCCCAUCCAAGAGGCUGUACCUUAGCCUGUUCAACUCCUGGCCCAGCAGCAGCCAUGCCUCUUCUUCUCUAUCCUCCUUCUGCCCCCAUUCCUCUUCAGCUGCGCAAAGGCUUCUCUCCAGAAUCCCUGCAGUGCAGACCUCUGCUCUUCUCCACCAACAGGUUUUCCCCCACCCCUCCUCUUUUUUAAUCCCCCUCUUCUUAUUCCAAUUUGUGUAGUAGAGUGUAAACUUAGAAUAACAUAGAAGAACCAAUUAAGCAAGGAAAUAUUUGGAGAACUCCCAACUACAGGCUGUUUUAAAAUAGGCCUCUCAGCAUCCCACCUUUAACUCCUUUUUUUUUUUUUUGGUUUUUAGUUUUGGGUAUUGAAUUUAUCAAGCUGGAACUUUUGUUACAUCUAUCAGCUAUUAACUCUUAAUUACCCAAAUUUUUAAAUUUGUCAGUUGUAAUGCUCUUUAUAAGGAUGAAAACAUGAUAUUUGGAGCUAUGCACAGUUUUAAUUGCCAGUUCUUAUCAGUUCUUAUUUUAUUGAAGUUUUAAUGUAUUCACAAGCUCCUUGAUAUCAUUGGUUAUCAUUUUAUUAUGAAUCAUUUUUUAUGCAGCGGUAAACAAUGGUAUUACAGAUCAAAGAACGUAACGCGCCUCACGGUUAAUUGUGGAGUUUCUAGUCUUAAAGAGCCUCCUGUGAGCAAUCCUGCUGCACUAGCAAAGGAAGCUCACAAGUAUUUUGACCAGGCUGUUAUCACUAUUCGCGCUGGAGACAGCGGCCAUGGUGCAAUCCUCAGCAUGCCGAACCAGAAAAUCAAUACAAAGUCGCAAGGGCAACACGAAAAGGAGAAAAGAAUCAAAAGUUCAUAUAAGAGGGAUUCAGACGGCUCGCUUAUCCUCCCGAUGGGUGGACAUGGGGGCGAUGUUGUUCUUUAUGCAGACGAGGACCUAGAAUCUCUUCUGGAAUUUCACAAGAAGAGGCGUUAUAGUGUGAAGCGAGGAGGGAAUGUAGAUGCCAUGGGCGCUUUGACCUCCCAACUGCAUGAAGGAUUUGCCGCACCAGCACUACGAAUACCUGUGCCUGUAGGUUUGUAGAUUACGACGGGAGUGUUUUUUCUUUUUUUUGUAUAUAUAUCUAGACUCUGAUACCAAUUAAUAUAAUGGGUUUUCGGUUGCUCGCUAUGGUCCAUAAUAUUUGUCCAUUGGUUUGUAGAUUACAACAAAAGUUGUUUUUAUAUUAUAGAGUCUGAUUUCCAAUCAAGUCUAAUUUUUUCAGCACCAAUAUAAUGGGUCUUUAGUUGUCUGAUAUAGCUCAUUAUAUUAUUGAUUCAGAUCCUGAUGUAGCUUAUAAUAUAAUGGGCCUUUUUCUUGUUCUGCAUGUACUUUCGGCAUCAAAAUUAUCUCAUAUGGUUUUUGAGAUAAAAGGGCCGUACGCAUUUAACUUAUUUGUAUCGAGAUAUACUUACAUGAAGUGUGGUACACAUAGCUUGAUUAUUUGACUUUUUUAGAUGUUGUCAUUUAAUGUUAAUUGUCCAGUUGUCAUGUUAAUUUUAGAGGAGAUGUGCAGUGUUGAUUUCUUGAUGAUGUGUGGUCUCUUCUUGUGCGACGAUAGCUAAGUCGCUUGUGUACUUGUGAUUUUUUCUUGUAUUUCAAGAUUCAAAUUUUAUCACAAUUAUGAUUUAAUACUUUGUUGAGUAACCAUUUUUUGUUAGAUGACUGGACUAAAAUUUCCUCUAUUGCUUGUUCUCUCAUCAUCGCUUCUCCUGCUGUCUUUUGUUUAAAAUAUGCCAAAACUGGUGAAUAUGUACUUAUGCAUGAUCUCACCAUCACUCAUUCCUCAUAUUCUAAAUUGUAGUUCUUCAUUUGCCGAGGAAGUUAACAAAGAACUUGAGAGAAACAUGAUUGAGAGAAUCAUAUUUAUAUAUGAUAUGUCGGCAAUGCCUAUACAAAAGUGAAUCAAAGCAUACAUUGAGUGCUUGUCUAUAUUGCCUCUUUGGGGACCUUUGCAUUUGUCUAAACUAUCUAAUCUGAAAUUCAAGGUCACUUUCACGCUCAUAGUUUUUUAAUUUUGGACUUGUUUUCUGUGCUGGCAUCUGAUCUUACCCCAAGGGAACAAUAUUCUGGUAUCUUGCAACAAGUAGAAUUUAACGAGUACAGAAAGCAGGUUAAGACAUGAAUAAUUAAAAUUGCAAUUAUGUAAUAGGAAACCUGAGAUAAAGAAGGUAAUCUGGUGAAAAAGUUAGAGGGGAAAGGAGAAAUGAAGUAUGGUGAAAGGAGAAGACCAAAUUGCAAAUAAUGAGAAGGAUUAGUAGUGCAGCUGGAGUUGAAUAAGCUAAAUAUAACCUCUGGCAAACUUGAUGUUCUUCCUAAAUGCAAAUAACAAAACUGAUUCGUCAAGUUACAAGUCACCUAAUUUCAUGAUUAAUCAAAGCGCUGUCGUAUUACUUAAACUCAAGACUGUCAUUAGUUGAGCUCCUCUUCCAUUGAAGUCCAAUUACUUCUAGCACCCUGUUUGGCCCAGUGGUGGUGUGUAUGAUCUACGAUUCUCACGGUAGAAGGCUGUUUGGUCAGACCACUUUAAAUGUGGCUGUGGUCUCCGAUUGCAAUUUUACUUUGUUGCACUGCAGAACCACCAAAAUUGAUAAUUUUGGCCACCGUACAUGGCACAGUUUUCCUCUGCACCAUGUCGUUAGGGUCACGUAGCUCUUUAAAACGACCAACUUAUCUAUGUUUAGUUCCAGGUGCUGCUCCAUCCAGCCAAGAUUAGAUUGUCAUUCUCUAGGAAACUUAAAUCUAACAUGUAGUGAGCUCUUUCAUCGGAACUCAGCAACAAUCGCAGUAGUGUUUUAUAUUACUUGUCUGUUAUCUACAAGUUCCUCAAGUUGCUGUGUUAACUCAAGAAGCAUAUCCAACAUACUUGUGAUGAUACUUGUUAAGGACUUGUUUUGUUAUUGCAAUCAGUCCAAUCUAAUGAUAUUCUCACUGAAAAUUUUGCCUGUGAGUUACAUGAAAGGAAAGAGGAUCAUAAUGCCUAAAUGGAAAUCAUCAUGCAGCAUUUCUUGCCCUUCACAUGACUUAGAUUUUGAACUUUCUUCAUUUUUGUUCUGUUUAUUGAGGUCCUAUCUAUUUGACUAGUAGCUAGGGGCGAAGAUCAGUUUUCUUCAUGCGAGUUUCAGAACUAGAGAAAAUUUUGUGUUUCUAUUAUUUUUUUACCCAAAUGGAAGAUCUUCCUGUAGUAUUGAGAAGAGGCAAAGUGUAAUUGUCCUUUUUAAAUAAGAUGAUUAUACAUAUCAUUACUAUUACUGAAAAGUGGUUUUGGUUACUGGGUUGAGUGUUCCUUUUAGUUCCCUUUUGACUCCUGUCCUUUUAUCCCAUUGCCAAUUUACUGAUGACUUAAAAAAUCUCGUGCCAAUUUUGUAUAGGUUGAUUAGGUACUCCAUUUUUUUUUGGACUUUAGGAAGUAUGAUUAUUCUUCCAAUAAAAAUGUGACAGGUUUUGCAAGUGUGAGAUGCCUUACAACCCGGAUGACCUUAUGAUCCAGUGCGGGGAGUGCUCUGACUGGUGAGUUGUAUUUACUUUCUGUUCAACUUGUAGUUCUUUAUUCAUGUAUUUUACUUUGUAGGGGAUGGCAAUACGCUAGAUUCAAGAUAUUACAUCAAAGAUUUUGAGUUUAAUCUUAUCUGCAUUUGUGAACUAUGUUUUAGCUUUAGCCUCUAGAAGAAAUGUUCAUUCUUGGAUUUGAAUUGUUUGAUUGAUAUUGUGACAUUUUGUUGUAUUGAAAACUGCGUGGUUGGGCAGAAAUUUGUUGGUUUUAGUUAUGGGUUUUAAUUAUUUAGAACAUUCAUCCCUCCUAUGGAGAACAACCCCAUACCCUCUUAUCUUGAACCCUGCAAGAAAAGAAAGCCCUGGUGACUAAAUUGUAAAUUUUUCUCAAACUUUGUAGAGAAUGGAAACAUGUUUUGCUAAUUCCAGGACUAGAGCAGUUACAGGUUUCUUGAAGAUGCAAGUAGCUCAAAAGCUGCCGAAAAAAAAAAAGACAGCAGCCAUACUACUGGAUAGCCUGGUCUUAUAGUUGAUCUCUUGUUAAAAGAUUAUUUCUGUGGCCUCUGAAGUUUUGAAGGACAUAUUGAUUGACCAUGUAUAUGUAAUGUAGAUCUUUAUAUUUCAAUUUUUGAAUGGUUGCUGUACUCCAUUAUGUUGAAGUUUAAAAACAUUGUUGUGGCCUCCUGUUUCAGGUAUCAUCCUUCUUGUGUAGGAAUGAAAAUUGAAGAAGCCAAGAAACUUGAGCACUUCUUCUGUGAAAGUUGUUCCCCUGAAAAUGGGAAGGAGUCUGAAAAGUCGCAUAGUGCUUCAUGACAGACAGAGCAAAAGGUAGUUGUAUUGGCAAUUUCCAAACAAGUCUCUAAGCUUUCAAAUAAUUUUAAAAGGUCCCCAUCUUUUUAUCUUUUUAUGUAAGUCCCUGAGGUUUAACUUUUUAACUUGUCUUUUCUACAAAUCAUUGCUUACCAUCUUUCAGAGGAAUUUAAAAAAUACUCCGUUAGCGAUUUUAACUUUUGUCCCCAAUUUCGUAAAUUUAUUGUUGUGAACAUCACAUUCACCUUUUAUUAAAUCCUUUUCUUGUAUAACACUCUACUCAAAAGCUUUGGAUGCUUGUCAAAUUUAAGAAGUAAGACUGUACAAAAGGGUUAAAAAAUCAUGAUGUUAAUCAAGUACAUUUACACUCAAAAAGUUCUCAGUUGGGACUUUCAUGAAAGAACAAUGCAAAACUGAGGAACUUUUUAUUAGUUUAGGGACCUGUGUGGCAAUUACCCUAAUUUCUUUUUCUGCAUAUAUAAUGUUGCAUUCUAAUAACACUAUUAAUUUGCUUUGUUGUUUCUUUAUCUUUGGUUAGUGGUGGGAGUUCGUGUCGCCAGGUGACAGAAAAGUGAGUUUAAUACCAAAUUUCAGGAAAAAUUGCUCAGUGAUGAUUAUUAUCAAGAUGAGCUGGCAAUAAAAAGAAGCAUGCAUAAUAACUUCUAAUGAAGAAAUAUGAUCAGGGUUUCGAGUUUAGGUAUAUGACAAGAGUAGAUGUUUUGAAUGACUGUAGACAAUAAAUAUUUAUGUCAACAGUGCGCUUCUAUGUUUAGCCUUUGUCUAUGUUUAUCGUUUGUUUGUUAGUAACAUGAGUUCGAAGGGACUUGUGGGAAAUAUCAAGGAAGAUUCUUUUUUUUUUUUAUCCCUUCUCUUUCCCCUUGUUAUCGGGAGCGAGGUGUCCUCAACCAAUUCAUGCUAUGGAGCCAAAUCCGAGGAAUCCCUUUCGAUGGCUUCCUUUUUUUUUUCUCCUAAUAUCUUGACAUGUUGUUUCAUUUUUGCAUUACUAACCAAUUACGAUGUGCAGGUCGACUCGAAGCGACGGAGAAGGUGACAUUUAUAGUGUAUUCAUCUUGCGCCGUCGUGAUGUAUAGAGUUAUGUAGUUCUUCGACGCUGUGUACAUAACAUAGGGUACUUAAGUACAAUGAGUUCUUAAUGUAUAUCAGAGUAGUAGAUGGGGAAGGGUGCACCAAAUAUACAUGUAUAUACUGCUGGUUAUGUCCUAUCAUUUUAUGCGUAUGCUGCGGACUGCUUGCGGUUGCUUGUUUAAUGACACUAGCUAAUAAUACUGACUGCAGUAACUUCAUCUUGGGUUUGAGAAUUAUUUCAUUUUCUUCCUAUCGUUUCUUAAUAAAUCAUUAGAGUUAGAGAUGUGUGGGUUCUUUUGCAUUUUGAGCACGUUUGACUAGUACCUCGUUUCUUAUUGGGGAUAAGAAAGAUUUUUAUUUUUAAUGGAGUUGCAGCAUUUUUUGAUGUAUUUUCUCUGUUUUAAAAAACUAAUAUGCAUGGAGAAUCAAAGAAAGGGCGAGGAGGGAGACGAACCGUGAGCGGCAGUGGAAAAAUUAAGGAUAUUUUGUUUAGUUUAUUAAAAUUUUAUGUCGAAUCUGCAAAUUCUAUAAUGUCGGUUAGUUUUUCUAAAAAUAUAAAAUCAAUGAAUGCUUUUUAUGCAAAAAGGUCAACUUUGAAACAAUGUGCAACGGUGAAAGCUACACGGAUGAUUAAGAUAAAGAAAAACAAUGACAGGCGAAAGGAGAAAAAAAUAUUUAUAUAACGAUCCGAUUGGCUAGUAAUAAUAAUUCGUUGGAUUCGAUCCAUCGCAAAAUGUUUAAGUCCAGUUAUUAUUACUAGCGUGUGAGGUCUUAUAUAUUCUAAUUACAAAUUCUCCUGUUUAGUUCAUGACGUUCUCGCCAGAUCCAAACCCAAAUAACAGACAUUACCAAGUGAUUACUAAAUCCGUUGGUGUAGCACUUUGUCCCGCAUAUCUCACUUAAUUUUUACACUUCCGGCUGGUAUUUGGCUCUAGUACCAAGUUUAAAGACUCAACCCGCUAGUAAUAAUAACUCGUUGGACCUGAACCAUUAGCCCAAAAUACUUAAGCUCAGUUAUUGUUACUAGCGCGUGAGGCCUCAUAUAUUCUAAUCAGAAUUAUUUUUCCAUCUAAUGUGGUCAUAGCUGUGGAACUAGGUCCGAGCCUAAACCAGGCCCGACCCUAUGAGCCAUAUUUGGGCCGGACUUCGGGUAUUAAAGAUAUAACUUUGGGUUCAGGCCGGGCUUAAAUAUUUAGGCCCGAAAAAAUUUUGGGCCUAUUUGGGCAUGUUCAAGCCUGACCUAAACCCGACCCAAAAUCUUGAUAUAUUAAUUAUCAAAAUAAAAUAUUUAAUUAUAUAUAUAUAUUUGUCUAUAAAAAUUAAUAAUAAUAUAUAUUUAUAUAUAUAUGAGGAUAUAUUAUAUAUUAACAAAAUAUUUAGUUCCAUAUUACGAUAUAUUAAAUAGUAUUAUUAUAUAUAUUUAAUUAAUUAUACAUAUCUAUGAGUAAAUAUAUGAUACAUAUUAUUAUAUAUACCUAAUUAGUUAUGUACAUAACACUUGUUAAAUAUAUAUUAUUUUAAAAUUUUAAAAAAAUUAAUUAGACGUUAUAUGUACAUAACUUAAGGAUAAUUUUAAAAUUAUAAAAUACCACAAUGCUCCUUUAAAAAUGUAUAUAUGCCCUAAUUAAUUAAACAUUCUACCCUUAUGUGAGAAGUUUCUAUCCUAUUAUUUACUUUGUAGGAUUGUUAGCAUCAGAGUAGGAGUGAAAAUGGCUUAAGCACAUAUUCUAUUUGUCUAAAUCUUAGUUUUAGUUUAUUUAUUUAUUUUGUUUGGUCUUAUUUCAUUGAUGGAUAAUUAUUGGUAGAUAUUAAUGGUAUGAUAUUUGAUGUUAGAUAUUAAUUUCUUUGAUGUGUUCAAACUCCAGUAAAUAUAUAAUCUAAUUUAAAACUUUCAAAACUAUAUUCUUAAUUGCAAGAAAUUAAUUUCAUAUAGAAAAUCUUGAAAAUCUUAAAAUAAAAAUCUAUAAAACAAAUUUAGCAAAUAAAUUAAAGUUCUAUAAUUAAAAUUAUAAAAAUAAAAUUUUAAUCAUAAUUAAAUUUUGAUUUUUCAGAACUUUUGUAAAUAGUAACAUGAUGGACCAAAUUUUCCGUUUUUAUCAUAUUUAUUGUUGAAUAAAAGAUCGACAAUUUUCAUCUUCAUGGUUUUAAUUUUUCAAUGCACUACAUAGGCGAUGUGCCUAGUUUAUUAAAAGGAAUGAGAANAUAUAUAUAUAUAUAUAUAUAUAGAGUAGAGUAAUAUAUAUAUAUAUAUAUAUAUAUAUAUAUAUAUAUAUAUAUUACAGAAGCCAAAUUAAUGAUCCCAUAUUGUAACCAGUAGAAAAUUUAUUUAACCACCCUAGUAAUCAGGAUCAUGGGAUAAUUUUCAUUAAUCAAAUUACCAAUUAUCAGAGGUCUAAAUUCUUAUUUUGAGAUCAACAUGCUUGUUUUUGCAAGAUAUAUUGAUUGGUUGGUACAUAAUGGACCCUUCCUUUAUUUUAGUAACUUUUAUACCACAAAUGAAGAUCAUUGUAGAGAUUUAAGUUUAUUUUAAACAAAUAUAGUUUAAAGUUCCUGAUAGAGCGUACUAAUUUUAUUUUAAUUAACCCAUUAAAUAGGUACAUUCUUUAUUGAAGCCAUAUGUAUCAUUUCGCAAUUGGAGAAAUAACUUGUCAACAUAAGACCAAAUUGAAUAUUUUUUUGGUUUCUGUAAUCAUAUAUUCCCACAGUUUUGAUAAUAGAAUAUCUAUCACAUAAGUGUAUUUAAUUAUACUGAUACAAAACUGCUCUUUCCUACUUGUAAAUCUGUAAUAUAUAUGAACUAAAUUUUAUAACUUUUAAAUAAACAAAUUUUUUUAUGAAAUCUAAAAAAUGCUUUUCAGAAAAAAAAAAGAUUCUCUAAUUAAGAACCAAAUGAACAAACAAUAUUUUUCCGGUGAGAAAACUAUUUUUUAAGAUGUUUUCUCAAAAAUUAAAACAACUCGAUCCUUAGGUAGGUUGAUACAUCCUUAACUACUUCCAACAAGAGGCCAUACUACCGACCGUCCCUAGAGUAAGUGGUAAAGGGCUUGGUGAUUGGUACUCGAGACCCAAGUUCGAAUCCUAGUUGAUUCAUAUUUCCAGCUAAGUUUAUUUCUAAAUGAAAUAAACGAAGCGGGUAUAUAGCGUGCUACCUAUCUCUCUCAAAAAAAAAAAAAAGAAAAAAAAAGAAAAAAAAGAGGCCAUAUUGUGAGUAAAGAGAUGAUGAUUUAUAACUACUAUAUCAUUGAUGAGUUGAGUGGGAGUAUUUUAGAAGUAAACCGAUCUAUUUAUCUACUGUUUCAUAUCAAGUUCAUUAGAUUGAUCUGAUGAGAGAACUAAGGGCGAGUAGCUGAUCAGUUGGAUAAUAUCUAUGCAAAUUUUUUGUAGAUACUUGCCUUAAUUAUCUACCUAUUUGUUUUUUCUUUUAAAAUUUUUUUUGAACUAUUUUUUUGGAUUAUGUGGUUAGUCGGAUAUGCUGUUUGCUUAAUAAUUGGAGUUAUCAAUAGAAAUUAGUAUUUAUUUUUAAUAUUGGGUAUUGAGAUCUUUCGUGUUCAAAGUAUCUAUUUUUUAAUAAAGAACUUGGAGUGUGAAACAUGGUUUGGAAAGUGAAACACGGUUUGGAAUGAAGAGAAUUACGUCAUUUAAUUAAUAAUUGGAGUUGUUAGUUGAAAUUAAUAUUUAUUUCUAAUUUUGAGUCUUCACGGUUUUGGUUGUCGAAGGAUCUGUUCUCCGAACACGUUGUGGUGUGAAACACGAUUUAAGACGGAUAUGUUUGGAAUGUGAAACACAUUUCCGUUAGUACUAUUAGGUUUGGGGGACAUGAAACACAGUUCCGUUGAUAAUUAAGCGCGCAUUAAAUUAAACAAAGAGCACGUUAAAUUAAACAAAUACUUAAAUAUUGUAUAUAAUUGUGACAUGUUUGGAGAAGAAUGCCCUCAUAGGUUCUAAGGCCUUCCAGGUGUGGCAACAAAAACCACAUAACACCCUUCUUAUUCUUUUUUUUCCUUCUUUUUAUUGUUGAAAUAAUAAUCUAAACUUAAUUAAAAUAAAUUAGAGAUAAGUUUAAAUAAUUUAUUUGAUUAUAAUUAAGAUAUGUAAUUAUCUAAAGUAAAAUUGAAUUUAUCAUCUGUUAUGAUUUUAUGGCUAUAUAUAUAGUUAGAUAUGAGUUAAUUAGAUGAAUAAGCCACAGUAGAAAUGACUGUAUGUGUGUUGCUCAGAAUGUAAUUAAUUGCUUAUUAGUUUAGUUAUCUUUUUCCUCCUCCAAUAUAUCUUUUCUAUAUUAUUUUGUUCUAUUUUAGAUCUUGGGUUAUAUAAUCAGUAACAACACAAAUACCAGUGGUAUCAGAAAAAAUCACGCUUUCAAUCACACUUCCAAACGGAAAGGUACAAAUCUGAAACUUAUUUUUGGGAUUUUCAUGUUUUCGUUAUGAAUUUAGAUUGGUUUAUUCAACCUAACUUACCAAAUUUUGAUGAAACAAAUUUUAAAGGAUGAAAAAUUAUAAUUCGAUGUUUUUUAGAAUCUCAAGAUUUGUUGGAUGUAAUGGAGAAUUGUAAUUAUGAAAAAGAAUUUGGUAAAGAAGAAUUUAGAGAAAGAGAUAGAAAAGUUUUAUCAUAUAUUUUUCAAGUGGUGUAUCUAUCGUUGGUUGGAAAAAUUUCAACGAUAAAGACAGCACGAGAAGCGUAGAAAAUGCUUUCGAAGAUUGGUGGAGAAGAUUUACAGGAAGAGAAUGAAAUUCAAAAAGAAGAAAAAAUUCAACCUAAUAGCGAAGAUACUGAAGCCCCAAUUUGCAAAGAAAUUUGGAAAGAAAGUCUGAUCAAAAUCACGAAGAAGAUCAGAUAUGUGAAGAAUAUGUUGAUCAUCAAAACGGUGCGACUCACGCUGACGAGAAAGUUCACAAUGAUAAUAUAAUUGAAGAAUUUUUUGAUGAAAAAAUUAUACAACAAAGCAGAGAGUAAGUUUACCAUUAUUUUGAUGUGAUCAAAUAUGCAAAUCACAAAUUAGAUUUAUGAAAAUAGAAAGCACAUGGAAAUAUACAAAUCGAGAUCAAUGCACCAAACAAGUAUCCGUGUCAAUCAGACUUUCCUCAACUACCACAUAAUUACAAAAUUCAAAUUGAUCCAAUUUUUUUCAAAAUUAUAUGAUUUUUAUGAUAUUUGCAGGAAUCAGCAAAUUGUAAAGAUUGAUGCAUAUAAUAAAAAUUACUAGUGGCCAAGAUUUCAACCAUGGUGAAAUUAUUGGAUAGGCGUCAUACUGCACAACUCGAACACGACGACGACAACAGCAGCAGCAGAGGUUGCAAAAUUAAAGUGCGCGUUUUAUGGGAUUUGCGGCUCGAAGAUGAAGUUUGAUUAAAGGAGGAUGUUGAAAUAAUAAUCCAAACUUAAUUAAAAUAAAACUAGAGAUAAGUUUAAAUAUUUUAUUUGAUUGUGAUUAGGAUAUGUAAUUAUCCAAAAUAAAAUUGAAUUUAUAAUUUGUUAUGAUUUGAUGGCUAUAUAUAGUUAGACAUGAGUUAAUUAGAUGAAUAAACCGCAGUAGACAUGGUUGCAUGGGUGUUGCCCAGAAUAUAAUUAUUAGUUAUCUUCUUCCUCUUCUAAUAUCUCCUCUCUAUAUUAUUUUGUUCUAUUUUAGAUAUUGAGUUAUAUAAUCGGUAACAGCACAAAUACCAAUUCCAACAAUUGGUAUCAGAAAAAAUUACGCUUCCAAUAUUUCCUUUCUUUUUUCCUCCUAUUUUAUUCUUCCCCACCUCCUUUUUUUUUUUUUUUUUUUUUUUUUUUUCCCCAAAGCCCUUGGCUAAUUUAUAGUGCUUAUGAUUUUUUUUUUAUUUUUAAAAAUAAUUCAAAAUAUUUCAAAGAAAAGGCAAGGUAGUUUUUUAUUUUUUUUAUUUUUUUUAUUUUUUUUAUCUCUUUCCUUAUUUAUGGCAAGACAUCUAAUGAUGCUAACUAAGCACACAUUAAACUAAACAACGACUUAAAUCUGUAAAUUAGGUUAAUUUACAGAUUUAAGUCGUUGUUUAGUUUAAUGUGUGCUUAGCAUCCUUAAUUACAAUCGUGUUUCAUGCACCAAACCUGAUCAUUCUAAUGGAACCGUAUUGGGGCGUGGAACACGAUUUGAGACGAACAUGUUUGGGACGUGAAACACAAUUCCAUUAGGACAAUUAGGUUUGGGGGCAUGAAACACACGGUUUCUUUGCUGGUGCUAAUUAAACACACAUUAAAUUAAACAAGGACGUCUUACUUGUUGAAUGUGAUUGUGACAUGUUAGGAGAUGCCUGCUUGCAUAUGUUCAACAAGAGGCCAUAUCCUUAAUCGAGAUAAGAAUUACAUACAUCCUUAACUAACUAAGUCGAACAAUUAAUAGUCUAUGCAUGUCAUGAGUAAAUAGAUGAUGGUUUAUAUCUAGCUACCAUAUCAUUGACGAGUUGACUUGGGGUAUUCCAUUAGUAAACCGAUCUAUUUGUUUUCUUGGACUUCACACUUAGACCAUAAAAAAAAAAAACUUUUCUUUGCCUUAAGAUAAGUAAACUAGUUAUUUGUAUGUAUUAAAAUGAUAGAAUAUAUAUAAGUUGAAUUACUUUUUCUUUUUGUAUAUGAUUUGCACACGGAUGUUGGAAACAAAUAUGUGGACGUUAGAAUUCCGAUAUAUUAAUGGAGUUGAAGCCUUAGUUGUUGCAAUGGAACCGGAGCCAAUUAUCUUGGGGUUGCGUCCAGAUACAUAUAUAUUAAUAUUGUAGCUGGCAGCGCAUGCAACUUGUUUUAAUUUUUUUUGUUUGCUUAGUAAUAACUAAUCCUAUUUAUCUACCAUUUCAGGUCUAGUUCAUUAGAUCUGUUGAGAGAACUAUUGAUGAGGAGUUAACUAGUUGGAUAAUAUGUAUGCAAUUUUUUUUGUAGACACUUGCCUUAUUUAUCUGUUUAAUAAUUUCUUUUUUGAAUUUUUCAGUUUUUUUCUAAACUAUUUUAUUUGGACUAUUGGUUAGACAUAUGCGCUAUUUGUUUAAUCAUUGGAGUUAUUAGUUGAAAUUAAUAUUUGUUUUUAAUAUUGGGUCUUAAUGCCUUCUAUGUUUGAAGUGUUUUAUUUUCAGACACGUACGUUGGAGCGUGAAAUAUGGUUUGUACGUGAAACACGGUUUGGGAUGAAUUGGGUGUGUUAUUUACUUAACAACUGGAGUUGCUAGUCAGAAUUAACAUUUGUGUCUAAUAUUGUCUCGACGGUUUUGGUUGUCAAAGGAUCUGUUCUCUAAACAUGUUAGGAUGCGAAACACGAUUUGAAAUGAACAUGUUUGGGACAUGAAACACAGUUCCAUUAGGGCGAUCAGGUUUGAGGGGUGUGAGACACAGUUCUGUUGGUAGUUAAACACACAUUAGGGUCUGUUUGGUUCUAUUGCUAGUUAAACAUACAAUAGGGUCUGUUUGGUUUGUGUUUUAUAGUAUUACUGGUAAUCUUAAUAUGAUUAAUAAUCUGGUUAUUUGGAUUACUGCUAGUGUCCCAUUAUUUUGUUUGGUUCAGCAAUGUAAUAUCCAAUUACGGCAUAUAUAAGAUUAUUUUGUUUGGUCAUAUUAUAUAUUUCAGUAAUUAUAAUAGUGAAGAUAAUAUUAUUUUGAAAAUAUCCUUAUAUAUUUUAUUUAUAUGAAAUUUAAAUGUAAACUUUGAAUUUAAGUUUAAAUUUAAUUGCAAAUUUUUAAUUUAAAUUUAAAUGUUGGUUCAAAUUUUAAAUUCAAAUUCUAAUUUUAAGUUUGAAUUUUGAAUUCAAAUUUUAAUUUUUAAUUUGAACUUUUAAUUUAAAUUUAAAAUUUAAUUCGAAUUUUAAAUUUAAAUUAAAACUUAAAAUUUUAAAUUUAAACUUAUUUUUAAAUUUCAAAUUUUAUAUUCAAAUUUUCAAUUCAAAGUUUAAAUUCAAAAUUUGAUUGCUAAUUCCAAAUUUAUAUUCAAAUUUAAUUUUUGAAUAUUCAAAUUUUUAAUUUUUAUUAUCUAAAUUCAAAAUUUGAAUUUAAAUUAUGAAUCAUAUUUCAUUUUAAGUUUAGAUUUCGCAUUACAAGCCCACCAAACGAAAUGGUUUUUUGGUCACGGCUAGCUAUUUUAAAUUUUAAAUUUAAAUUUAUAUUCAAAAUUUUAAUUCAAAUAAAAAAAUUUUAACUCAAAUUUCAAAUUAAACCAAAAUUUUAAACUCAAAUUUAAAAUUCAAAUUUAAAUUUUAAUUUGAAUUCAAAAUUUAAAUUUAAAUAUUUUAAGAAUGAAAAUAAAAAUAAAAAUUUAUUUUUAUUUGAGGUAAUUAGGGUGUGGAGGGUUAAUUUUAUAAUGUUCUAUAUAUGAGUUGUAAGAUAAUCAGCCGUCAGUAAUAUAAAAUACUCACCUCCUCUGUAGUAAUAUUUUGGGGUUAUCUCGUGUUAUUAGUACUACUGUAUUAUCACUCAGAUUAUUGGCUGAUAAACAAAAUAAUGCAAUCUAAAAAAAUUUCUAUAGAAUAGUCUAUAAUCCUGCUAAAAUAGCGCGAACUAAACAGACACUUAAAUUAAACAAAGACUUACAUGCUAUAUAAGAUUGUGACAUGCUAGGAGAAGCAUGCACGCAUAGUUUCAACAGAAGCCAUAUCAUUAAUCAAAAUAAGAAUUACUUGCAUAUAUCCUUAACUAAGUCCAACAGUAAUAGGCUAUAUUGUGAGUAAAGAGAUGAUGGUUUAUGAUUGCCAUAUCAUUGAUGAGUUAAGUUGGGAUGUUUCUUUUCUUGGACUUCACACGUAGACCAUCAAAAAAACACUUCUCGAUGCAUUAAGGUAAGUAAAUUAAAAUGAUAAAAUAUAUGUAAGUUGAAUCACUUUUUAUUUUGUACAUGAUAUGCACACGGAUGUUGGAACCUAAUAUAUGGACAUUAGAAUUCGAUAUAUAUAUGUAGGAGUUGGAGCCUUAAUUGUUGUAUUGGAAUGGGAACCAAUUAUCUUAGCGUUGGAAUCGGGUACAUGAUCGAUGUGCUUGUAGCACAAUUUAUUUAUUUAUUUAUUUAUUUUGUUUUUAAUUUUUUUUGUUUAUUUAUUAGUACUAACUAUAUUUUUCUGUAAUUUCGGGUCAAGUUCGUUACAUAGGAAGAGAGAACUAUUGGCCAGGAGUUGAAUAGUUGGAUAAUAUCUAUGUAAAUUUUUUGCCUUUUUUUUUUUUUUUUUUUUUUUUGAGUUUUUCAGUUUCAUUUUGAGCUAUUUUAUUUGGACUAUGGGUUGGACAUAUGUGCUAUUUGUCUAAUAAUUGGAGUUAUUAGUUGAAAUUAAUAUUUGUUUUUAAUAAUGGGUCCUGAUGUCUUCUCUGUUCAAAGUGUUCAUUUUUUAGACACAUUGGAGCGUGAAACAUGGUUUGCAACGUGAAACAUGAUUUGGGAUAAACAGGAAGUGUCAUUUACUUAGUAAUUGAAGUUAUUAGUUUAAAUUAACAUUCAUUUUUAAUAUUGAGUCUUGAGAAUUUUGGUUGUCGAAGAAUCUAUUCUCUAAACACGUUGGAGCGUGGAACACGAUUUAAGACGAACAGGUUUGAGACAUGCAUGAAACACAUUUCCAUUAGGACAAUCAGGUUUGGGGGGCAUGAAAUACGGUUCGUUGCCAGCAAAACACGCAUUAAAUUAAACAAAGACUUACAUGUUGUAUAUGAUUGCAACAUAUUAGGAUCAGAAGCAUGCUUGGAUAGGUUCAACAAGAUAGCCAUUUCCAAGGAAUCAAGACAAAAAUUACAUACAUCCUUAACUAAAGUCCAACAAUAGUCCAUAUGGUGAGUAAAGAGAUGAUGGUUUAUGUCUACCAUAUCACAUGACGAGUUGACUUGGGAAUUUCAGAAGCAAACUAAUCUAUUUGUUCUCUUGAACUUGGUACGUAGACCAUAAAAUUGUUGAUGUAUUAACAAUCAAAGAAAUGGCGAGGAGGAGGAAGACGAAUCUGAGCUACAGGAUAAAAACUAAUGAGAGAAGAAAAAAGAAGAAAUAAAAAAAAUAAGAGUAUUUUAUUCAGUUUACCAAAAUUUCAGGUUGAAGCUAUUUAUUUAGUUUAAUUAUUUUGUUUACUGGGAACUAUUUUGUUUAGGCUAUAUGGUUAGUCCAAGAUGCUAAUUUCUUGGUAAUUAAAAUUUUUAGUUCAAAUUAGUGUUUACUUUUGAUAUUAUAAUUUGAGGCAUUUUGUGUUCGAAAAAUCUUAUUAUUUAAAUACCUUGAGGCGUGAAACACGCUUCCCUCAGUAGUUAAGCACACAUUAAAUUACACACGGUCAAAGGCCUUCCAGGCGUGGCAAUACAAUUGGAUAUGUACAAUUUUUCCAACAUAAACCAUUACGUACGGACGAAGCCCUAACGACGUAAACCGUGUCGUCUUAUUCCUCAGUUAAUACCCUACCGAAUUCAUCCGAUUCCUGUAGCAAUCCAUCACUUUUGAGAGAAAACAACCUGUUGAGAAUCCACAAUCCACCUAAUAAUGAUCAUUGAAGAUCUGAUACUCACUUCCACUGCAGAAAAAAGCACUUGUAGAGACUGUUUUUAGCGAUCAUAGAAGCGAUUUAAACUGCCUCUACAAUUUGUAGAGACAGUUUCUGCAACCGCCGCCAGACCGCCGGCGAAUACGAUUUUAUAGAGGCGGUUGUGGGAACCGCCUCUAGCACCUUUUUUUCUUAUAGCGUUGGACGUCGAUUAUUGAAAUUUCUCAAUGAACUCAUCAAAUUAAAUUAGUUAAGAUGUAGAUAAAUAUUGUAGAUAAAACUGAGUAUUCAAUCCAAAUAGGGUUGGAAAGAUUACAACCCUAAUCUAAGGGUUAAAAACCCUUCCUUAGAAUUCUUUUUUUUUUAAAAAAUGAUGUGAUAAGUGAAAGUAAAUAUAUAUCAAAAAGCAUUAAACUUCAGAGAAUGUCUAUGUAUUAACCAAUUAAAUUUUUACUAUAAAUCUGCAUAUUGAGAAAAACCUAGUACAAUCGCGAAACAGAAAAAGCCAAUUAUCAUACUUGUUAGACUAUGUAAUUGUAAAUAUUUUGUGUCGCGCGAGAAUAUUGGAGCAUGAAUUGUAAAUAUUUCGUCAUAUUUAUUAGACUAUGUAAUUAAAAAAAAAGAGUAUGUAAUUGUUUUUCUUUUUGUUUCAUAUAUAUGUUAUUGUCCUAUUUGAGCCUUUUGAUAUAUAUACUUAGACAAUACCUUAAUGUUUCACAAACUUUUUUCUUAAGAAAAAACAAAAAAGUACACAAUAUUUCUUUUCACUUCUCAAAUUAAAGUAGUUUCAUCUAUCCCAAGAUAAUUAAGUGCUACGUUCUUUUAGAUUACAAUUACAACAAAGCCUCACUUUUUUUAGUUUUAUUUUUUAAUUAAAGAAAAUUAGUCAACUUUUGUUACAGUAUAAUCUUUUUUUACUUUUGUCUUUUGAAAAAAAAUAUAUUAAGUAAGCUCCUUACAUUGUUUUCUAGUAUUAAAGUUUUUAAUUUUUUUUUCGAUUUUAUUUCUUGAAUUUUAUCAUGUUUAUUUUUUUACAUAUAUUUUUUAAACUCAAGAAUUUUUUUUUAAAAAAAAACUCGCGCAAGGAAGGGCCCCAGACGGCCCUGGGGGCUCCAACCUACUGGUUGGAGCCCGGGCAGUAACCAAUUUUUUUUUUUUUUCCCUUUCCAUAUGACACUUUUUUUGAAAAAUAAUUAUUUAAAAAUAUAAGUAAAAAAUAGUAAAAUAAAAGUUAAAGAAUUAAAUUAAAAGUAAAAAAAAUUAAUAGAGGAAGAAAGUGGAUAAUAAAGAGCCUAUUUCUAGUAUAUUUUAAAUAAAAAUAAAAAUGAAAAUAAAAUAUUAGAAAGAAUUUUAUUUGUUGUUAAUUAAAAAAAAUUAAAAUGGCUACAGAAGAUACAAGGCUUAAUAGUAAUCUAAAAGUUAAUUAAUUAAUUAUUUAAAUGAUAUAAAAUUAUUUUUAAUUUGAGAAAUUAGAAAAAAUGUAGUGCAAUUUUGUUAUUUGUUUUGAAGGAAAAAAAUCUUAUAAAAUGUAAACAAAACAAUAAAUUAAAUGCAAUUAAGAAUAUCAAAAGAAUCAAAUAGAGUAUCAAACAUAAUGUUAUAAAAAUAUAAAUAUAAGUUAUUUUCCAAUACUAUAUUUUCAAUGCAAGUUUUCCUUCUAUAACAAUAUACAUAAAAAGUGAAGUAGGAUUUUGUUUUAAAAUAUCCUUUGUUCUAAUUUUUGUUACUCAUAUUUCUUCAUAUUAUAUUAUAUUAUUAUUGUGUGGUGUGUGUGUGUGUGUGUGUGUGUGUAGAGAGAGAGAGAGAGAGAGAGAGAGAGAGAGAGAGAGUAAGAAAGAAUUGAGCUAGAAUGCUUUUAGAAGUAUAUGGGCCAUUUUACUUCUAAAUUUAUAGUUCUCGAAUGGAGUGUAGAAUUGAAAUGAUGGUGGUUCCCUAUAUACACUAUGUAUAUAUGUGUGUACAUAUACAUAUACAUAUACUUCUACUCUCUAUUUAAAAAGUUUGGCAUGGAACUAUUUUUGUUUGCUACUCAGCAAGCGCAAUUGUUGGCUUAUGUGGGAUUUUGAUCAGGACGGCACCUCAAUGUAAUCAGGGUUUCCAAGAAGCCCUAGUUGGUUCGGGGUCUACAAUAAGCCUUAGUUUGGUUCUCUUAGUGGAAGGAAGUUUACUAUGUAGCAACUAAACUACAUCAUCUAUAUACAUCGAGUAAUAUUUUUUUUAAGAAAAAAGUAUAAUAAAAAUAUUUUUCUAAAUUUCUUGACAGGAUGAAUGAACCAUAUAGGGCAAAUAUGAUUGGUUGGAGACGCGAUGUCACCCAUAUAACUGCUAUAUUUUAAACUUUUUUCUCUUAGUCGUGUCUUUUUUUGGAUUUACUAUGCGAUCUUUCCACAUCAAUAAAUGAGGAUACUAUCUCUGUGUAGGGUAUCCUUUAUGUCAGUAUUUUUGUUGUAGUGUGGUAAAUCUUAAAGAAAUAUAUUGAAUAGAUGAAUAAAAAAUAAGUCAGUCACCUUUGAAUGGAAAAUUUCUAAUUAUCAAGAUUAACUACCAAGAAAUUUUUUAUUUGUUAGGGAUUAAAUUGCCCCAAAAAAAAAAAAUUAAGUUGACUUGCUGAUUAAGUAAGUAUUUCAUUUAUAAAUCCACAUCUAUCAUUGAAAGCAUUUGUAAGGACUGAGAUUUGACAGUAUAGCUAAACUCUAUAUUGAUGAUAUUUUUGUGUGUAAUUUAAUUAUAUAAGCACUCGUCAAGUUUCAGGAGAAAACGAGUUAGAAUGGAGAAGUUACGCGACCUUUACUAAUCACUUAAAGUGAAUAGUAACUCCGAUUUUUCGGAGGGGCCAAUCAGUGGAGAUGGUAUUUGGUGCGCAUUGGACUCCGUUCAUAGUGAUCCAAUAGCUCGUUUUCAACGGUUCGACUAUCCUGGACCCAAUGGCAUUGACGGAUUUGGAUUUUGAUGCACAAUUUUCGAGAAAAAGGAGAUUUAUUGGAUUUAUACAUAUAUUUAGGUGUUGUUUUAGAAAAUUGGAGAGUGGAUGGGUUUCGUCGCAAAUCGGCGACCAUAUCGGGUGAAACAAAAUUAUUAGUUCGAUGCCCCAGUCGUGCCGAACGCGUGGGCGCAGUCUGUUCGCAAAUCCAGCCUACGGAUCUCCUGAUAUUGUGCGAAGAUCGAGAAGGGGUCGAAAAUUGGCAAAACGAAAAAUCUGCAAAACACCCCAUAUUUUAUGUACUGUUUUGCGCGAUAUCAAAUGGCAAAGUGCGUAUGUGCAAAAUACACGCGCUACCAGGGUCUCGACUGAAAAUACUAGAUCUCGAUAUACUUUUGUGCAAAUAUGCUACCUAGUAUAAAGGAGCUGACAAGGGUUUUCAUGGAAGAAAACCCUAGCCUAGCUCAGCUGACCUCUAGCCGUCAUUAGCAUCUGCCCCUGCCCUAGUUGCGUGCGCCUCAGCCAUCUGCGCACGCAGCUGGCAGCCGGAGAGGCCGCUCAUCUCUCUCCUCCAUUAUCUUCUCCACUAAAUCACCCUCUAUCUUUGCCCGUGGACCAGAGCCGCGCUACCAGGGUCCUCACCCUUGGGCACCCCUCUUGCAGUGGCCUUGACCUUCGGCAACUCCCUGCGCACGUCGCCGCUGUCCCCACAGGCCGCCGCCGCCGCCGCUGCUAGCUCCCUGCUGCCGUCCCGAGUCAGCUCAGGCUGAGGCUGAGCCAGCCUCCCUCCUGCGUGCUGCCGCCGCCCGAAACCUGCCUCGCCGCCAUCCCUCGACCUCCGGCGACUCCUCCUGUUGGUCGCCGCCGGCCCUACGCGCCGUUACUGCGGCUAACCAGUCCAGCUUGGGCCGAGGCUGCCCCAGCUCUUGGCCCUCGUGCCGCCGCCAUCUUAGGCCACCUGCGUUACCCUCCUCUGACCUCCGGCGACCCCUCGCCGUCGCCCCGUAGCUCCCUGGCCGCCGCCUUGGCCGCUGUGACCUGCUGUACCCAAGCUAAGCUCGUGCGGGCUCGGGAUGCUCCAGCACUGCGGCCGCCGCCUUCCGUCGCCCUUACCGGCCGGAACUAGCCGAAGCCUCCCUGUUUGUGCUUGUGGCUAGGGCAUCAAUGUCUGCCUACGCCGCCACCUUCCGUCGCCAGCCGAUGCUUGCCCCGACCUCCCUUCAUUGCCCGAACCUUCCUGCCGCCGGUGCGCCCGCCGCUCGGCCGCCGCCGGCCGUGCCCUAGCUCCCAUUGGCCCGGUAAGCUUUAUUAAUCUCGUUUGUGCACUAUUUCCUGUUCAGGCCACUGUUUUGGCGACCCAAAGCUGUUCCGAUGCCUCCGGAGGUGAGCACGGUGAUCGUCGGUCAGUGCUGAUCAUAGUACUCACCUCAUUUGGGGUCAACGAACCCCGGAUUAGAGAAUUAGACGUGUUUUAGUUUCAGCGUGCAGUGUUCGCUGAACUUCGAGUUGCUCCCGCGCCUCUUGUAGUAGAUGGUUGUGCUCCGAAUUGUGAGCACGGCCUCCGGCAUGUCGAGACUUAUCAGCACGUGUCUUGGCCGACCGCGAAAGCCCUCGGUUUGCUGUAUCGAGCCAUAAAACCCGGUAAAUCACAUAAAAUAAUGUGAUUUUAUGGUAUGGUAAGGGCAUUUGUAAAUUGUGCACUUUGUGGGUGCUGUGGGCAAUAUGUGUGGACUGCGGGUGACCUCUGGACUGAUUGUCCAAGGUCUGAUGCCCUUUGUGGAUAUCGAGUAUCGAUUUUCGGUGCGUUUUUCGGCAAAAUUCGCCGACGGAACGCGAUUUUGGUUCGGACUUUUUCCGAUAGUGCUAAGGCGAGUUAUGUUUUGUCGCUGAGCCUUGUUGGUUGGUCACAAUAGUCAUCUCGUGAGUUCGGAGAUGACGGGUGAGCGACAGUGGGUUUCGGUGUUGAAAUAGACACUUCCGGGAAUCCGGAUCCAAACGAUUAUUUGACGAUAAUUGUUUGGAGGUGUGAUCUUGUGUUUGCUGUCAAGACAUCCAAAACGAUGUGUCUUGUGGCGGCGGGUGACUUGUGGUGCGAGUUAGUGAGUUUCGGGACACUUCUUGGGUCUUGGCGGAAUCCCGGUGCGAGUUUUGGGACUUUCGGCAAGUUACGGUAAUCGGUUUUGAAAAAUCGAUUCCUGUAGGUUGUGCAGGUGGGAUUAUGAGUUAGUGUUUCUCAUUUGUGGGUUAGAUUCUAACCCGGUGGACCUUCCGUAGGUCCGGUUGACGUUCUUCCACAGUCGGGAGACAGGUGCUACAUAUGUACAGGUGGGUACUUCGACCCGGAGUUGGUCUAGUGGUGCACGCUCGGUGAUAUUUUCUCUACCUUUUCUCUCUUAUUACAGUUGUUUAUCAUUGUUAAGUCCGACACCAUGUGAACCUUUAUGUCGCUUUACUUAGUAUUUUUCUAUACUCGCAAUCAUGAUCUAGAAGUAGAGCGGACAUUGUUUGCCACUCGUCCAUUGUGACACUAUUGUGACCUAGUCGUUCGGUUCUAUGACUCAUGUCGUUUGAUGACCUAUGAGGUCGGUAUACCCUGAGGGGUAGGAUUGUCAGCUAGUUGUCGACGGAUAAUUAUAGAUUACACAGAUCCAUCAUUUAACAUGUAUGUGACCUAAUCGGUUAGUUUCGUGACUUUUGUUGUUUGAUGACCUAUGAGGUCGGUGUACCAUGAGGGGUAGGAUUGUCGGCUAGUGGCUGACGGCUAGUUCUGGAUUAUAUUGAUACAUGAUAUUACAUUCUUAUGACCUAUUGGUUGGUUCUUGUGCAUACAUUUUAGUUGAUAUUGAGUGAUCAGUACUUGCAUACCUUUAGGAGGAUAUUGAGUUGUUCCAUCCUAGUUGACCUGGGUGGUCGGUACUUGUGUUUCCUUAUAGUUCGAUGACCUAUUGGUCGGUAUGCCCCGAGGGGCGGUGAUUGUAGGCUAUUAGCCGACGAUUGGCUAUUGAUCAUAUCCGCAUUGAUCGCCACAGCUCGAGUGCAUUUCACGUAUACCAGUGGGUUGAUCCCCCGCAGGAGGGUGUUCUUUUCUGGAAAAGUAGUCGUACAUCCGACUCGUGAGCCUAACGGUGUUCUCUUUGUGCUAGCAUUACAUGCCAGGUGCGAGCAGGUAGUGGCUUUUGCCUGAGGUCCUUGGACCGACAUGGUGGUUUAGAUUGGGUAUAUUUGGAUUACUCGUCCGGUUGACGCAUAUGACUAUAGUAUCGGUUGUUGCAUGCAUACUUAUAGUCCUUUAUUUACGCUUGUCUUGCUACUAUAGUUUUGAUAUUGAUGUAUACAUUCAGUUCUACUUUACAGUAGCGGUAGUUAUAUGUUCUGUUACUGUUCUCUUUCCUUUCAGUUUAUUACUACUAUAUUUGUGAUAUCUGCUCAUGACUUUGUUUAUCUUUUUCUGUACCGGUGAGUACUCCUCGCCUUCGUCGGCUUGUGGUACCCACUGGGAGUGGAGACAUGUGUAUAUGUUCUCACUCCCCCACCAUUUUUCAGGUAUUGCAGGCGGUGAGGGUGAGACGAGGCGUGAAACACGUUAGUAACGGUCGAUAGAACUUCCGACCCAGUUGAAUUGGUUUAGUUGCUAUCCUUACUAUAUCUAAUGAAUUGACUGAGACGUUUUAUGAUUCAGUUGAUUUUAUUUUAGUUGAAUAUAUAUAUAGUUUUGUGAAGUUAAAUAAAGUAAUUGUGGUUUUCACGUAAAAUUGUGAAAAAUAUUUUCUACCCUUCGUGGUAGCGUUUUAAAGGAAAAGUUUUCCGUGUGGAAAACAAUUUUAAAAAGAUUUUUUCUUGAUUCUCAUGAUUCUUAGUGUUUCAAAAUGAGUUUCCGGAUAUGAAACGUUUUAAACUAAUAGAUGAGGAUUUCUGUUUAUUUGUGAUGGAAUAAAUGAUAAUUGUGAUGUGGUAAAUGUAUGUAGAUGUUCAUACUGUUAUGGUUGUAUCUUGUACUUAUGUGACGCCGUGAAAAUACAGGGAAGAUUCUGUCCGUGUGAACAAUAAAUUUUCUGUAUUUAUGGCGGAUCUGACAUACUCUGGGGUCAAGGUUUUCAAAAAAAGAAAUUUGGACACUUUCGCAUCGAUUUUUAAAGCCAGAAGGACCCCGGGACGUGAUAGCGUUUUUCCAUCAAGAAACUCAUUUUGAAAUACUAGAAUCACGAAAAAGCAGAGCAUUCUUUUCAAAAUCAUUUUUCAUACGAAAAUCUUUUAUUUUAAAAAUAGACUGCCACGAGGGGUAGAAAAUCCACAUGAAAAUUACAAAUACUUGUAUUCAAUUUUCAAAGCCAUAAUAUGAAUGAAAUAAAAACAAAGUUAAGUUAAUUAAGGUUAAACUGAACCACGAUAGUCUAAUUCAUUAUUCAAAGCAAAAGAGGGAUGAGUCUAGAAUCGACAAUAACCAAGCCGAGAACUCUACUCUCGCUAUGUGCAUGCUUCACACCUCGUCCUGACUCGGACCUCCAACGUCACCUGAAAUGGGGGGGUUGAGAAAUCAACAAAGGGUCUCCUAAUGGGUACCGCAAGCUAACGAGGGCCAGUGUACUUACUGGUAACCAAAAAGUAGCUAGGAAUGAUGAUACAGUAGCAAAGUAAAAUAAGGAAACAAGGUAUAUAAAUGCAACUAUCGCUACUGUACAUCAACAUGCGUCAAUUGGACGAUAAGUCCAAAGUACCUAAUCCAGAAUCUGCCAUGUCGGUCUACAGACCUCAGGCAAGUGCCAUGCCGCUCUAAUGGCAUAUGACCCUAGCAUAAGCUCCUGGGUUCACGGAUCGGAAGUCCUACUACUUUUUUGGCAAAGAACACCAUUGCGUGGCCAAACCACUGGUGUACGUGAAAUGCGUAUGAGUAGUAGCAAUCUAUGCAAAUAUGAUCAAUAGCUAUUGGCAAGUAGCCAACAAUCAACCCCUUAGGGUAAACCGACCGAAUAGGUUAUCAAUCAAAGUCUCACACCGACCAAUUAGGUCACACUGAUGUCAUAUCAUGAACCGAGAUAAUCAUCAGCUGCACUACUCCUAAAUCAUGAUAGUCAGAUAUAGAGAUACAACCAAGUCGAGUAACAGGUAAUGAAGUCACAUGGUGCAAGGCUCAACAAUAUGGGUAAUGCGAGAAACAUAAAGAGAGAGGGUGGAGGGAACGUCACCGAAUGUGCACCACUAGACCGACUUCGGAUCAAAGUACCCACUUAUAUCAGUGUCGUGUCUGUCUCUGAACUGUACACGAUCGUCAAUUGGACCUACAGAGGUGGUCCACCGGGUCAGUGUCUGACCCACUAAUCCAUAAUACAUAACUCACAGACCCCACACAUUUUUCCAAAAUCGGUUUCCUAAAAUCGAUAAUCGUAACUCGCCGAAAAUCCCGAAACUUACACCAGGAUACCGCCGGGACCAUAGUUAGUUAAUUUGGAUUCGGCAAAAAUUCGGUACGGGUAUAAUUCGGAUAAAAUUCGUCUUUUAAUUUUUAAAUUCGUUGAAGAAUACAGCUAAAAAAUGGAUUCGGUAAUUAUUCGAAUACGUGAUUUAUACGAAUAUUAUACGUUCACCAAUUAAAAAUUCAGGAUUAAAAAUUCGGCCAUUAAAUUAAGUCUUUUUUCUCUCAAAAUUUAUAUUAUUAGCAUAAAUAUUCAUAUUUUUUAAGAAUAUAAAAAUAAAGAACUGCAAAAUUAAACUAAUUAAGUAAAAAAAUAACAAACUAUAUAGUAUAUUAUGCUUAUAAAUAAAAUAUUAUAUAAUAAUAUUUCUAUAUAAAAAUAAAAUACUAUAUAUAAUAAAUAAAUAAAUAUUUAUAAAUAAAAUUAUAUAUAAUAUAUAUACUAGAUAUAUAUAAUAUAUAUAUAAUAAUAUAUAUAUAAAUAUAUAUAUAUAUAUAUAUAUAUAUAUAUAAUGAGAGGGAGGUCCACCGUCCCUCUCAUGUGGCCUCGUGGACCGCGCGCGAACAAAGCCUCCCAAACGCCGUGCCAUUUCCACCUUUUCGUUUUCGCGGAAGGUGACUCGAUUUUUUCUCCAAAUUUUCUCCAAAAUUUAUAAAAUAGCUUUUCCAAACAAAAUUUUACGGACAAUCAAACAUGGGAAAAAAAAUUUUCGACCGAAAUUUUUUUUCGGAGGGGUUUUACCGGGAUCCAAACACUUGCGAGUUCUGCGACGAGAGUGGCGGAGGAGGGGGACGACGACUACACUUUGGCGACGAGAGCGACGACGACGCUACCUGUUUUUUUGGGCGAAUCAUUCGCAAAUCGUGAAUGAUUCGUGGAUAAUAAUUUUUGACGGAAAAAAGCGUUUUUUUUCAAAUUUUUUGAAAAAAUACGGAUACGGGCAUUUAAUUCGGUUAUUCAAAAAUUCGCAAAUUAUUCGUGAAUUAACUAAGCAUGGCCGGGACCCACUAUGUCAUGCCCCGAAUUACCACGUUUUUUCGAGCACGCCAACAGAUCCGCCGUACACAUAGAAAUUUUUUAUGUAUACGAAGCGAUAGCCAAAAGCCUGCAAACAGAUAUAGCUAUAACCAGAGGUAAAGAGCUGCUAACAAAAACCGAAACAUAUCUAUAAAAAUAAAAGGCCACUGUACAUGCAAGCUCCAAAAGUACAACCACGUCCCAGUGAGUACAACUAACAACUGUAUGUACACGGUAACAUCCAAAACUACCUUUGCGGGGGUGCUCCUUUAGCAAAAAGGACCGGAGAAGAUAGGGAUCUAGCUCGCGACUCCGCUACCACGGUCAGAAUCAACAGCAGUAGCAGAUGAUGACUUUGCAAAAAGGUAGCAACAAUUGGGUGUGAGAACUAUUGUAAAAUAGGGUAGUUCUCAGUGGGUACCGUCACCGACCCCAACGGCCUACCCAAGAAGUCUAUAGAAAAGGUAUGCAAAGGAUAGUAAAGUAAGCUGGAAGAAACUCUACAGCUAUAUGCCACUAUUCUAUAGCUAUCCAAACCAUGCUCUCUGUAGAUAUAGAAAUGCAUCACUAGCUACAACACACUGACCCAAUCUCAAUGGACCGCCAACUGGCUAGUCCAGCCUGUACCCAAGCUACACCGCACACCACCCACGUGGGUGGCCGGUCCAAGAACAAUGUCCAAACAGGAUUGCUGCGACAUCAACGCAAGUAAAGCCUCAUUCCGGAGUGGCACUCGUGGGAGCGACCCAACCGAGCAUGUAAGCGUGUCUCUGUCGAGCUCAAUCAGGCACACACAGGCUAUAGUCAAUGCAAAUAGGUCUAACUAGUCUAACAACCAAGGCUCACGUGCCUUUGGCACAAACUACUACAAGAUGUAGGAAUCUGGGUCUACUGUCAGUCUCGACGGCACCCGACAGUAUAAAACAGUCUAACUUUGCUGUAAAAACAAGUUCGCCUCCUUAGCACAAACGUAAUCUCAACCUACACUAAUCUGAGUAUCCACAACGCACUAACAUCGGUGAUACAAAAAAGAUAUUAGCUCCUGAAGCUAUAUUUGGUAACUUUUCGAAAAGUGACAGUGUAGGUUUAAUCAGUUUUCACCUAAGUCAAAUCGCAGUUCAGCAUAUAUAAUUUAUCUAAAAUUCUUAGAGUAAGCUCUAAAUUCAGAUUUCAUAUAAACAUGUAAAUCCAUAAAUUCGAGCUACUAAACAUGAUGAACAAAACAAGAAAAUACAUGCAGAUAUCUCUAUGACUUAGAAGGAAUUCCGACGAUUUUCGUAAACAUUAACCCACCUCAAAUGCUUGUCCAAUGUCGGCUAGAAGUCGAUAGGAGAGACCCCGCGCUCGCUCAACUUCAAAUGGCUCAACCAAGUGCGGGGCAAUCCUCCAAAGACCAAGCGAACGGAAAAUUAGCUCGUUCCUCAAAUUCCCAAAGAAAUGAGAAAAGAAGCUAAAGAGAGAAAGAGUGGGAGGAGAAGCUACCUGUGUUCUCCAAGCUUCAGGCAUAAAGAGAAGGCUGGGGAGUCGGUUGGGAUUUAUCCGCAACAAAAAAACUAAAAGACCCCUUACCAACUCAAUUUGCCGCCGGAGUACCGGUACUCAAUUUGGGUAUCGGUACUCGGCCCUCAAACAGCAAACCCACGCGCGCUGGGUACCGGUACUAGCCCGAUGCAAUACUGGUACCCAGUCCCAGUACAGGUACACACCAACAGGUACCGGUAGUUGGCACCAAAUGCGCAGACCUGAGAGCUCCCCUUCGUGUAAUCUCUCUGGGGUACCGAUACACCUCUCAGGUACCGGUACACAACACUCAAAAUCCAACUUUUGCAAAUUUCAGUGUUCGAACUCCAACUCUCACAGUUCUGAGUCCGUUUUCGAGUUUAUUUUACACCAAAACGACUCUGACUCGUCCCGACACUUUACAGAUGUGUCGACAAGCCAUUGAUGCUGCAGUCGGUCCGAUAAUUAAACCCCAGAGGCACUACACACUAACUAUCCCGAAACUCAUUGACUCGUGCAAAAUGCAUCUUUCAAAAUGCAUAAAAAUUAUAUGAUUUAAAUGCCUAGAUAAAUACAACUGCUAAGCCAUUAAGUGUAAAAUUUUUUAGAAAUGACAAGCUGAGCCAUAAUUACAUGUACUUUCUCGUGAAACGAAAAAUCUCAUUCAAGACAAAAUAAAAAGAAUAAAGUAUAAUUAAUAAGAUGAAAGAGUACAACAUUCUCUUAAAUAGUAUAAUACGCUCUUCUAAAUGUAUAAGUAGUGCAACAUAUACAUUGUUAAUACACAUUUUGCAUGAUUUUUACAUUAAAUUACGUACAGUUUAGUAUAUUACGCGAAAAUAAUAUAAUAUAUUACAACAUAUUAUAAAAAUUAUAUAAUAAAUGCACAAACGGUACAUAUUUUAUACUGUUUGUACAGAUAUUUACACCAUUUGUGUAAAUGUUGCACUAUUAUAAGAAAAUAUUGCACCAUUUAGAUGUGUGUUGCACUCUUUCGCUUUGAAAAUUAAAUUUCAUUACAUAUUAAAUAAAAUGUCAAAUUUUUUGAAAAUAAUAACUGUUAAGCCAUAAUUAUAUAUACCUUUCUCGUGAAAUGAGAAAUCUCAUUCAAGACAAAAUAAAAAGAAUAAAGAAUAAUUAAUAAGAUGAAAGAAUACAACAUAUUCUCAAAUAGUGCAACAUACUCUUUUAAAUAGUGUAAUAUCUGUAUAAGUAGUGCAACAUAUGCAUUGUUAAUACACAUUUUACACGAUUUUUACACUAAAUUACGUAUAGUUUAGUAUAUUAGGCGAAAAUAAUAUAAUAUAUUACAACAUACUAUUUAUUUUAAUUAUACUUAUUUAGUGAGUAUAUUUAUUUAUUCACUCACUAGUAAUUAAUUAAGUCUGUAUGUCUACUGACUAGUUAGGGUUUGAUGAGAGAAUUAUGGGAGAGGAGCCGAAUAGUUAGAUAUAUCCAUACAAAUUUUUAGAGAUACUUGUCUUACUUGCCUAUUUGUUUAAAUUUUUUGAGUUUUAGUUAUGUUAUUUGGACUAUGUGGGUUAAUCGAAUAUGUGUUUUACUUAAUAAUUUACUUAAUAAUGAAGUUAUUGGUUGAAAUUAAUAUUUUUUCUUAAUAUUGGGUCUUGAGACCUUUUAUGUUCGAGUUAUCUAUUGUUUAGACACGUUGGGAAGUGAAACACGAUUUGUGGCGAAUAGGAUAUGCUAUUUAUUUAAUUAUUAGAAUUGCCCGUUAAUAUUAAUAUUUGUUUUUAAUAUUGGAUUAUGAGGCAUUUUGUGUUUGAAAAAUAUGUUUCUUAAAUAGGUUAGGACGUGAAAUACAAUUUUGAUCGAGCUGGACCGACCGUUUCUAGCGCAAGUGGCGACGCACUUGGUAGUUGAUACCUAAGGUCUCAAGUUCGAAACCUUAUUGCUUUACAUUUUCAGCUAAAUUUAUUUCUAAAAAAAUUAAACGAAACGGAUAGCAUGCUAUCUUUCUCUCAAACAAAAAAAAUUUGGUCGAGCAGGAUGUCUAUUUACUUAAUAAUUGACGUUGUUUAGUUGUUUUUGAUAUUGGGUUUCAAGACCUUUUGUGUUAAGAAAAAUCUAGUCUUUUGACACGGUAGGGCGUGAAACACGUUGGAAUGAAAUACGAUUUAGGUGGAACAGGUCUAGAAUAUGAAAUAUGAUUUGUGUCGAACAGGUUUGAAGCGUGAAACACGAUUCGAUAGCGAGGCUUGGAACGUGAAACACGACUCCACGGCGAGGCUUGUGUCGUGAAAUAUGAAUUUGUUGUUGGCCAAACAAUUUUUUUAGAAAUAAACUUAGCUAGAAAUAUGAAUAAACUAGGAUUUGAACUUGGGUCUCGGUUACCAACCACCAAACCCUUUGUCACUUGUUCUAGGGACGAUCGGUUGGCCAAACAAUUAAACAUUAAACUAAACAAUGGUUUAUAAGUUGGGUAUGAUUGUAACAUGCCUAGAGUAGCAUUCGAAGGCUUUCCAGCUGGCGUGAGGAUGACAUGCAUCGUCAAUUUCCUAACAAUAUAUAAUUAGUGUGUACGGACGGCAGUGUCAAUGUUCUAACAUUAAUUAGUGUGUACGGGCGAAACCCUAAACCCUAGAGACAAGUCCUCUUAUACCCUUAUAAAUACCCCCCCGCAUGCAUCCUAUCCCUCACAGCAAUCCACCGUUUUUGAGAAUAAACAACCAACAAUGGGGGUUAGUAACUAGAUUAAUCGAAGCUUACAAUUUAUUCCUGUACUAUUAUUUUUUAUUUUUGUUUUUUCAUCUGAAGUAUCCACAUGUUUAAUUUGCUUGUAGGUUGUGAAGGAGGGGCCUUGGGGUGGAGAUAAAGAAGGGAAACCAUUCGACACGAAAACUGUCGGCUGGAUUUUGGGCUUCGAGGUCUGGUAUGAUGACUACAUUACCGGAAUCCGGUUCAAUUAUAAGCAAGACGGAUUCGAAAUAUGGACUCCAGUGUAUGGUAGCCAAUCCGGAGGUAGUCGCGAAAAGGUCUGUAUUCCUCGAUAUGUCUUCUUUUUCUUUUUCUUUUUCUUUGAAAAAGAAGAUAGUAUACUACUCGUUUCGUUUAUUUUCUUUCCUUUUAAAAAUAAACUUANUUUUUUUUUUGAAAAAGAAGAUAGCAUACUAUUCGUUUCGUUUAUUUCCUUUUCUUUUAGAAAUAAACUUAGCUAGAAAUGUGAAUCAAAUAGAAUUCAAACUUGGAGCUCCGGGUAUCAACCAUCAAGCCCUUCGUUUUGCCUUUUAACUCUCUUUUUACAUUACUAACCGUUUCUAGAGUAAGUGACAAAGAGCUUGGUUGUCGGUACCCGAGGUCCUAAGUUCGAAUCCUAGUUGAUUUCACAUUUCCAACUAAGUUUAUUUCUGAAAUGAAAUAAACGAAGUGAAUAGCGUGUUACCUAUCUCUCAAAAAAAAAAAAAAAAAAAAAAAAAAAAAAAAAAAAAAACUCUCUCCUUACAUUUGCUACCUUUGCCUUUACAGGCAUACUUAAGAAUUUUUACAGCUGGGACCCUAAUUCAUGACAUUAUUAAUUUCCAUUAUGCUGCGACGUACGGUUGCACUAAUAUAUAUGUACGAACGUGCAUGAAAUCCACCAUCGGUUUUAUCUUGCAAUGUAUUAUCACAACUUGUUAGCGAACAACCAUAAUUAAGAAUAAGCUGAUUAAUUAACAAAUCCAGAAAAAAAAAAAAACUUAAAUCCGAUUCCUCUCUUGUACUGACUAUAAGCUUCAACUUGAGCUCUCCUUCUAAAUUUGUUUUAUCCUUCUAUAAAUUCGAAGAAGAAGACUUCUUUUCUCUUCUUCUCUUUCGCAUACAAUGUCGCACCCUCUGUGCCAAUUAAGCAAGGUUUUCAAAAAGAGACUCGGCCGAAAUCACUUUUAAAAAAAAUAAAAGAAUUGCUGAGUUCACACACAAAAGUCUUUUUUUUUUUUUUUUUCCUAAGAGAAAGGUAGCAAAUAAACUCGGCUAGAAACAUAAACCAACUAGACUUCGAACUUAGGAUCUCGGAAUGUUGCAACCACCAAACCUUUGUCACUUGCACCAGGGUUCACGCCCAAAAAGUUAAUUAGCACUUCUAUGCCUUAUAUAACACAUAUAAUUAAGCUGCAACCUGCCCAAUACCCUUGUAUAUAUAAUAAGAUAUGUCUACUCUAAUGUAAAUUCAAUUCUUUUUAAUUUAUUUAUCUAUUACAUAUUUAAAUCUUCAUCCUAAUCAAGUUAGGAAAUAAUUACAAGUCUAACAAAAUUAUAACAAUUAGUUGAGUUUCUGGAAAGACGAUCAAUUCAAUCGCCUCUCCAACUAUUGCGGACCAAAACUACGUACUGCAGUCCGUCAAACUCGCAACAGUUGUUGUGUAGUUGCUAGCUUCAAAUUAGCUUGUUUCGAACUACCUCUCAAGUCGGUAAGAGAACAAUAUGGAAGUGGAGAAGAAUUUUGGGGAAGCCACCUAGCUUCGCAUAUAUUUUAGUUCAGCACCAAGAUCAAAUUCAACUAAUUAGAUAAAAAUGACACCCCAGCCGAUUUUUUCACAUCCAGUUUACUGCUGUACGAUUUCUCUAUUCCACAGGUUCAAAUCAGUAACAGACUUACCGGCAUACGAGUUACGGUGGAUAGCAAAGACAACCUUACUGUUGUUCGAUCGCUUACUCUUGUCGCCGGUCCUUUAAUCAGCUAUGGACCAUAUGGUUCUUCUGGGGCGGGAAAAUCUUUCAGUGCAAAUGGUACAAAUAUUGUUGGCUU
rnacentral:lncRNA from 1 species